rnacentral:lncRNA from 1 species
CCGUGCAUAUCGGAAACGAAAAAAACACGUUUCCUUUUUUUCCCGCGAGAGGCACCUCUCAGAAACGAAAAAAAACUCCUUCCGCGAGAGGCACGGUUUUGCUUCUCAUGGAGGCAUGGAUUUGCUUCCGCGAGAGGCAUAGUCGUGCCUCUUUUGGAAAGAGAAAAACAACAUGCUUUCGGUUCGGUUUUUUCGUCCGGUUUUUUCGUGAAAAGAAGUUCGUCAAAACCUAUCAACAUGGGAUCUAGUCUUAAAGAUCUCGACGCUAGAAUCCAAUGAUGAAACCAGUUCAACAUUUGGACGCACUGUUUAAAAAAUAAAACGUUUUGAAUAAACGAAUCUAUGAAAAAAAACUCACAGGUUGCGACAAGUGGUGCACAUGCAGUGCGCCACUUGUUGCAAUCUGGGAAGGUGGGAGUGACCUUUGCAAAGAGUGCUCCUUAAUUAGUGAUUUCGGGAAAAAAAACAAACAAAUUGUAUGUCCGUUUGGGUUAGAGCAUCUACAGUCGGGCGCCCCAAACCCGUCUCAUAUGCCCAGGCGGGGCACUUGGUCAUUGACCGGUCGCGAACCGACCGCCUUAAACGGGUCUCAAACAUCCAGGCUGACAAGCACCCCUCAUAACCAGCCCAAAUAUGAGGCGGAUGCGGGGGUGCCCGAGCGCGCUCGGGCGUGUCCGCCAUGUCGGACUGACGUCAGGGUCCCACGCGAAAUCGCCAGAAAAUCCGGCGGUCUGAAGCUCGUCUCCUCCGUCGGACCGAUGUCGCCACAUGGCAUCGCUCCGGCGGGCCGCGUAGUGCCUAGCCCGACUAUUUAAGCUAACCACCGACACCGAAACCCUACCCUUCCAAAUUUUCCUCCGUCCAUCUGCCGCCACCGCCACUUUCGACUCCCCGUCAGCCACCACUAGUGGCCAUGCCCCCACGCCGUCGGAUAAGGGGCUACCCAUUUCUAACGCCGGAGUGUCGGCUGCAGCUCCUUGAGCAGAUCCGGGCAAGGCGCGAAGCCCCGAUAGCUGCGGGGCUACCUCCGAAUGCAAUGGAUCCGGAGGAGUUGGAGGAGGAGGAUGUGGGGGACGCUGGGGACGCGGAUCUACAGGCGGAGCACCAGGCCAUCCUCGAUUCCCUCCGCUUGGAGUCGGAUGUGGAGGCGAGACGCCAUCGCCGGCAAGAGAUGGAGGCGCAACAUGCCGCGGAGGAGGAGGAGAUGUUCGCCUACAUGGAUGAAGUCGAGCGGAGUAGGAGCCGGAGCCCUCCUACGCGCCCGUCCACCCGGCGUCUGACACCGGCGUCAUGGUCAUCUCCGACGACGAAGUUUAGCUAGGGUAGUAUGUUUACGUUGAUUUUUUUUUUUGCGUGCUUUGUAUGGAUCUAUGGGCUGAAAUAUGAGAGACUCAGAUGCAGAGUAGCUAAUUUAAGGCGGCGGAUGCGCCCAUCGCGUCCGUGAACGUUUGAGGGAUCGGAUUUGUUAAGUCUAGCGGCUGUAAUGCUCUUAGCCCGUUGGGAGAGUGUAUCCUGUGAAACAACACAACGUGUGCUCCAGAUGCACCAGCCGCAUAUGGGCCAUUGGAUGUAACAGGAAGGGAAGUGAUGCAGCUAAGGUGUAGGCUGUGGCACAUUUGUAUAAUAGUCAUUGUGUUUAUGCAGAAUAGAUUGAAGAGGGGCAGGAUUCAGUUCUGGGCCCUCUGGUAAUAAACAGACGGAAGUGGUUCCAGCCUUCCAGGAGCAACAACCAUGAUCUGGUAAAUAACUAAAUUUCAGCGUAUCAAUCCACUGGUAGGUAGAUCAGGAUCCGCUCCGGAAAAGUAGGAUCACACGAGGCGAUCUAGGGAGGCGACGACGGUUCCCUUGCGCGCCAUCGGUGGCGCCGCCGGUUCCUUCUCUCUCCGUCGGCCGCUCCGACGGCGGGAGGGAGAGGGAACCUCGGGUCUGUUCGCUUGGUGGAUGUGUGGUAGGGUUAGGGUUGAGGGAGACGCCGCCGAGGCCGUUGCGGUGGUGUCGCGUUGGAAUAAGUUUCUCCGUGCUCCGUUCGCGGUCAGGCGAGGCUUUUGCCUUCGUCUAGGAGCCAGCGGGGUGGGGGAUCCCGGAUCUCGUUGAGGUCGCGGGCUAUGGUGGAUGGAGGUCCAUUGGCACUGGCUGUUUGGGUCCUCAGAUGGGCGAUGGAUGCAGGGAGACGAAGACCCUUCUUCUUCCUUGUCGGUAUGAUUUGCUGCUGCUGUUCUUCUCCUUCCUCUGCGCCGAUGCUAGUGGGAGAUCCUGCUUUGUCCGGGCGGAUCGCCCGGCCGCGGUGCUGGACCGGUCGGAUGACUCGAGUUCUCUUCCUUCCGGAAGGGACACUUUUUGCGGUACUCAAAGCCAAAGAUGGCGACGGCUGUUGCAGGUUUGUUGGAUUGAUGUCCAUGCCCUCUCAGCGCUGGUGUCAAGAAAGGAGGAAGCAGCGUGGCGGCAAUUGUACCGUGGUCGAAGAUGAUGAUCUGCUUGCGCCUGGUUGCAGAUCUUUCUGCUGCAGGGGUCUUCUCUCAAGAUCCAGGGAUGAUGACACAGGGCUCGGGAGAUCUUCUUGUGUUAUGGUUGUCUUAGUGUACUCUAGGUGUUCAUGGUCCUUUGUGUUUGCGUUUUAGUAUGUUUGUAAGGGUCAACUACUUUGUACUGUUUCGUGAUUUGAAAAAAUUCUCAAAAAAGAUAACUAAAUUUCAUAGGCUCGUCUCUCCAAGAAAGAUAGGCAUUAAAGGAUUUUCCUUUAUUUUUUCUAGUGAUCGAUCGAUGUAUGUGAGUAGGAAAAUUUGCAGGUAGAAGAGUUGGACACUGUUAAGGUAAAAAACAUAGUCAAACUUCUGUUUGGAAGCCUUGCAAAAAGAAAAAAGAUCUUCUGUUUGGAAGAAUUAUGAGAACAAGGUUUUCUUCUUAAUCAUUUCAAGUAAAGAUACAUAUACAAAUGUUGAAUCCACGUGUCUAUAUUUUUUUUCUAAUAUAAGAAAAAUGAACAGACAAAAAUAUGUGUGCUAUGUUAGAAAAAAUAUAUAUUGUGUGUGUCGUUGGCAAUGACCAUUUGCUCUUUUUACAAGUCUUGCUGUUACAAUAUAUGGAAAUAUUAAUGACCUGAAAUCAGGAGCACUUUUAACAGGAAGUUUGUAACUUAACUUGCACUCCGUAUUCAGAAUGCAGAUAUGUGCCAUGUACUUAUGAUAAAGUUUGCGUCAUAAUUACUCUCUUUGUUCCAUAAUGUAACACGUUUUUUGACUCUAAUAUAGUGUGAAAAACGUCUUACAUUAUAAGACAGAGGGAGUAUUGAUUAUUUUUAAGCUCCCUAAAAAAAAGUUCUGCGCUUGUGGAAAUAUCUAUAAACCUGCCUCUGCCUCAGUGUGCUCUCAAACAUGUUAAUGGUCUUCAUUACAAAGCGAUAAAAUGACGUAGGCACAAAUUAUUUAGAGAUACUUUUGUUAAAAUAAACCUAUAGCUCCCAUACAAGAUAGAACUGAACAGGGGACAAAGACGAUGGAAUUCAAAUAUUGGAAUUGGAGAGGACGAUUCGUCAAUCUAUAUCUAUAUCUAUAUACCUACUAUUAAAGAGAGGUGAUAUUCUUGGUUUCGUCCAGCUUAGAUGAUUUUAGAUGAUUCUGAUGUGGUACUAAACUUUUUUGCGUCCAAAACAGCGUGCCAAACGCACAGUGAUUGGACCGGCCCAGUAGCAAGCGCCGACGCAAGGCCCAGCCCACUAGCAAGCGCCUAACACACAAAAAAAAACUUAAGAAAUGCUCAGCGCUAUCACGGGGGUUUGAACACAGGCGCUCCCACUCCAAUGUGCAUGCUACUAGCCACCAUAACUGAUGGCUGUUGAUGCUUGAUUGCAGCGUCAAACUUAUAAGAAUGCAUUGGCAGCAGCAUAUUCAUUGUGUAUCGUUCUAAUUUUUUAAUUAUGCAAUCAAAAUAGUGGAAAUCCUGCUCGGCUCUGCAUAUUGAUGAAGGAAGAAGAUGCGGAUGAGGCCAUGGGCGACAGCGCGGUGAGGAGCGAGGAGAUUCGGGCGACCUUCCUCAGUGGCGCGGGAUCUCUUGCGCGGCAGAGAGCUCAGCUCAGCAGGGAUGCACAGGACGGAGCCGGAGCCCUAAGCACGCGCGGGAGAGUAGGGCGACUUCAGCGGCGCGGGAUCUCGUGCGCGGCCAGAGCGCUGGUGGCCGCGCUAUUCUCGCGGCGCUGUAUGCUUCGCUACAAUGAGGAUAUUAUAUUUGAUUUUGACCGGUCAAAGGCUUGGAUGUUGGUUCGCUUCUGGAGCCGAGCAAAAUAAUCUUCGUGUAGUGCUCCAGGUAAUUCUUUUUUUGGCCUUUAUAUGAGCACUGCUCCACGUAGUCACCAACGAGAAAAUUGCAGUCUCUGGGCACAACUAGAAUAGCUCUCCUCCCGAUCACUAUAUAUAUAAAAAGGAAAAAUUAGGCGCAAUGUACGUGUAAUCUGAUCACUUGCUACAUACCCAAAAUUUAAUUUACCAACGUUCUAAUUUUAUGUGGUUCUGCCUUUUGGAAAAUGCCAGUAGUUUUUUAAAAUCGUUCAUGAAUUUUAGAAUGUUUAUGUAGUUUUAAGAAUAUUGUUCAUGUAUCAAAACAAUGUUUAUUUCCCGCAAAAAAAACAAUGUUUAUACCAGUUGAAAAUGGUUCACCUUUUUCUAAAAAAAAAGUUCAUGUAAUUCUAAGAAGUGUUCACAUGCUUAAAAAUAUUUUGUAAUUAAAAAACAUUCAUGCACUUUAAAAAUUCCAUGUGAUUUAAAAAGUAUUUAUUAUUUCAAAAAGAUUGUUGAUGCAUUUUGGAAAACAAAUAUACAAUUUAAAAGUGAGUGGGUGAAUGAGAGAUGGUGUAUGCAUGCACUAGAUGCAUAUUGUAGCUCGGGGAAGGGCCACCAUCACCUCCAGCUCGACAAGAUUAGUAUAUAACUAUUAGACAUUCACUUACGAUGAUGUUGUUCAAGGCAGGUGUGCGUGGGUUUAGGUAGUGGCCGACAUCAUCGCCUUGAGAUUGGCCACGUUCAGACGCGUUGUGAUCAGUUAGACACCGCGACCAUGCAUGGUUAGUGAAGGGAUGAAAGGGUAUAAGGUGCCAGCACCAAACAUCUGUGGGUUCAAGUGUAGUAAUCUUCCCAAAAUGCCCUAAUUUUUUGCACAAAUAUGAACAGAACUAAGCAUGCAACUGAAAAAGCUGUGGGGUCAGCUAACCCCACAGCUUGCACUUAGAAUCGUCAUUGGGUAUAAGUGACAACACGGAGGUGGACUAUGUUGAUAUAGAUAAGGUGGACCAGUUGAGCGGUCUUAAGUUGUGAUUAUUAUAAUAGAAGCAUGUAUCUGUUUUUUUCCGUUGCAACAUACGGGCAUGUUUGCUAGUCGGCUACAUAUAAAAGAGAUUUGUUCUGCAAAAGUGCCAUCACCCCAUGCCUUAACUGCAUCCCGUGCCUUCCUUCCACAUUGAAGGGCCCAUAAGGGCAUCUCCAAUGGGGGUGCUAAGGACGGGCGCCAGGGUAGAUUUCCAGGCCGUUACGUCCAAAUCCCGGCCGAGCCAGGGAUUUUGUCUGGCGUCGAUGCUAAUUGUCGCGUCGAGCGCUUGGACUAUUUUGUUUCAGCAAGCCAAGGCGCUAGCGAUUGCUUUUUGUACUUUUUUAAGCGCUCCGCAUUGCCGAGCAGGGCGCUUAGCUCUUAAUUAGAUUUUGUAGUAAUUAUUUUAUUUCGCUUAAGCGCCUAUCUAAGCGCUCAGCGCUGUACAUGCCCUAAGGGCAUCUACAACGCAGGGGCUAACAGUGGACGCCAGGAUCAAUUUCCCAGCCGUUACGAGCGAUUCCCAUCCAAAACCAGGAUAUAGGUUGGCGCCGAAGCAAACUGUGUCGUCGGGCGCUUCACCUUUUUGCCUCACACGAGCUGAAAUUAAUUGGCUGCGGGCGCUUAUCCCGGACGCCAGAAAAUCUUGAUCCAACAAAAUCUAACGACUUGCCUCAACAAUCCAACGAUCUCCUAGCUGUUUUAUCGGGCGCUAGGUCCCUGCUGCGUUGGAGAGGGCAGCGCUAGCCUGCCUUUUUUUUUUCUUGUUUAGCGCCUGUUGAUGGUUGUUAGCGUUGGAAACUAAGACGCCAACAUAGACGCUAAGGUAAGUUUUUGGGGAAAAAAUCUCUAGCGCCUACACAAGCGCCUCCCCAUUGGAGGUGCCCGGCUGGUGCAUCCGUAACACCAGGUCUGCCAUCACGGGAUAUGCUCUCAGCGGGAAAAAAAAUCUAUUUUAAACUCUGAACUUGUAGAGGUUCGGCGAAUCAAACCCUCAAGUUUAAAUCCCUAUAGUUUGCACUCUAAACUAUGCAAUCCCGGUCUAAAUCGAACCCUCGGGUCGUUUGCCAAACAGGAAUUGCAAAGGAUAGUCGGGAUUUUGUUUUUUGUUUUUGAGACAAUAAGGCGGGAUUGGUUCCAGAAAAGACUGAGAGCUCCUGCUUGACGCUCGUUAGACUCAAAAUGAGCAACCUAUGCUAAAGGUGAUGCACAAAUGGGCCGGCCCAAUCGCAGACGCAGAGCGAAUAAAAAAAACCCGGAUGUGAUGGGAGUCGAACUCCCAACCUCGCUACGCUUGCUAGACUGAGUACGGCUUAUAGGUUGCACUAUGUUUAAAAGUACCAACUAAGAAAGCGGCAGAUCCGGGGGUUUUCAACAUUUCUUGAGAAAAAUGUGAAUAAAAUUUCUUAAAAAUGCGACCAAUGUUUGGAAAUCUUAAAAAAAUCGAAUAUUCAUUUUUAAAACAUGAACAUUCUAAAAUUGUGAACAAAUUUCAAAAAUUUGAACAAGUUUUUGGAACUGCGAACAAUUAAAAAAAAGUGAUUUAGACCUGUACGCCGAUAGCCCAGCGAACGCAAAAGGAAAAAGGAAAAAUUUAUUAAUUUGACCCUUUUUUAGUUAACGGAAAUGGAAAAAUCCGUAGAAAUUUGAAAAAGUUCACGGAAAUGAAAAAAAUUCAUGAAUUUGGCAAAAAGUUCAUGGAUUCAUUUUUUUUACGAAUUUGGAAAUAGACUUUGUGAAGUUUUGAGAAAAAAUCAUGAUUAUUAAAAAAAUCACGAAUAUAUUUUUAAAAAAUCUUCAAUUUUGAACAAACAUAUCACAGAUUUGGAAAAAGUUAUUUGUUUUUUAAAAACAAUUCAUCAUUUUUGAACAAAAGUUCAUGAAUAUGAUAAAAGUUCAUCAAGUUAAAAAAAGGUCACAAAUUUAAAAAACACGUGGAUUUAUAAAAGUUUAAUGAUUUUGAAAAGAAGUUCAUGAAUUUUCAAAUGAAAAGUCCAUGGAUUUGGAAAAAAAAUCACGGAUUUUGGGAAAAAUGAAAAGCUGAAAAAGAGUUCAUGGAUUGGAAAAAAAAUCACGGAUUCAAAAUGGUCUAUGAGUUUGUAAAAAGGUUCACGCUUUUUUUUAGCAGUGUGACAGAAAAAAGGGCCGGCCUAGCGCGGAGGACGGGUACGCGCCGUGGUCACUGCUGCCGCUCCUUGGUGCACCAGUCAGACGAAUCCCGGUUGACAUGGCCACGUCAGCGUUUUCAUUCCUCAAACGAUGCCAGGGUUCGAAUUAAACCGGGAUUGCAUAGUUCAGGUGCAAACGACGGGGAUUUGGACUUGAGGGUUUGAUUUGCUGAACCUCUAUGAGUUCAGGGUUUAAAAUAGAUUUUUUCCUGCUCUCAGCCCGCUCGAGUUGCUCUUGCUGAGACAGCCGUAUAUUGCGUGUUAUUAGGUUAAAAUAUACCUUUUUUGUCAAAAGAUCUCAGAAUUACAUUGGGACCGAGCGAUGAUACAAAGCACCCCAACUAACAUGAAAAUCAGAAUCAGAUUAGAAGUGAAGGACGAGCAUACACAACACACGCUGUCGACACUUAUUACAUCGACGUGACAGAGGUAUCCGCGGGGUGUGCGCGACUGGCCGAACAGUGCCAAGCUGGAGUAUGGAGGCCCGGAGACCUGCUGCCCAAGGGGAAUCGCUCUACCGGACGGGCCGGGUCCUCGACGCACGGUUUCUGGGGGAUGUUGGGCCAGCCCGCAGCAGCGCGUACCGCUCCGGAUAAGCUCUCAUAGUCCCUGAUUUCCAAAAAAAAAAAAGCUCUCAGAGUCCCGGUUCUGCUUGUUGUACAUGUAUUAGUACCACACCGCCUGCGUAAGAUAGAUCGAACGUGUUUAUAUUGUUGUUUGGCGAGGAAGCUAUCACCAGGCGACAGGCCUGGCUAGCUAUUCUAACUUUGAAUAUGCAAUUACAUUUCAUAGGCACACCUUGGAUGACCACACGACACGUUGUGGGUUGCUUUUUUCCCCUAAGAUCAUGCGGGCAUAUUUGAUGAUGAAUCUAAUAUACUCCAUCCGUUCACAAAUAUAACACGUUCUAAUUUUUUUGUGUGAAUUGGAUGUAUAUAGACACAUUUUGGUGUGUUUGUUCACUCAUUUUAAUCCAUAUGUAAUCCAUGUUGAAAUAUCCAAAACAUCUUAUAUUCGAUGAUGGGUCUAAUAUACUCCAUUCGUUCACAAUAUAAUGAUGUUGAUUUCGUAUAUAUUCGAUGAUGAAUCUAAUAUACUCCAUUCGUUCACAAAUAUAAGGAGUUCUUUUUUUUGUGUGAAUUGGAUGUAUAUAGAUACAUGUUGAUGUGUUUGUUUCACUCAUUUCAAUCCAUACGUAGUCCAUAUUAAAAUAUCCAAAAUAUCUUAUAUUUAUGAAUGGUAGAAGUAUAUUCUUGCGAUGAUAAAAUGGUGUCUAAGUGAUCCUCUUGAAGACAAACUUGCAAUGAUAUGAUCAAACCCAGUCUUAUUGUCUAUGACAUUUUUUUGAAGGUCCAGUGUUUUCUUUUGGAAAUGGCAUAGACAUCAAAUGUGCCAUGUCCUUCCGCCUCGGGCCAUUUGCCCACACAUAAUCCCAAAUGACUAUCUUGGCGCCAUUUCCUACGGUGAUAUUUGUGAGGGUGUAGAAACGGUCCAUGCCCGUGACAUUGCAGUGUUGCCACAUACCUACCUGAGUUAUUUUUUGAGUUGUCCAUUAAAGCCAUGGUUGUCGUAGACGAGAGCACAUGCAUGCACAAGUUAAGCAAUUGUUAGAAAUAUGCCCUUGAGACAACUACGUGAUGAUGUUAUUUCCUUAUUUUUUGUGAGUUAUUUGUAUUAAUUGUUCUUGAACAUCAUGAUUGAUAUGUAUCAAUAAGUAUGUGACUUGCUUGUGACUAUAUAUUGUAUGAUGAUUGUUCUAGUGAUUCCUAGUUGAUAAGAUCAUGCGGGCAUAUUCGACUUGUAUAUGAUUCAGUUGAUGACUAUGUUUCACAAGUUAUGGGUAUAGAGAUGUUAACCCGAUAGUAUGGACUCGGGGAUGAGGAUUACCGAGUCAUACAUAUUCACGUUGAGACGCAGCGAGAUAUUAUCACAUGUUAGUCUUAAGUACAAUGUAUAUGUUAUGUCAUAGACUUGAGGUCUUCACAUGUACUCGGGAUAUGAAUUGACUUACUUAGGGUCUAUCAAACACCACUUUGUAUCUGAGUAGUUGUAAAGGUAACUUUCAGGUUAGUCGUGAAACAUGUUGCAGGACAUGGUUGACCAAGAUGAGAUUUGCCCCUUUAAUUCGGAGAUAUUUCUUUGGGCCCUCUCAAGUGAUCAGAUUCGAAAGCAUGGCCAUACGACUUGGUUUAAGUGUUAAGGAAUCUUAUAACAAAUUCGAGAAGAGAUGUCGAGCCACUAACAAGGGUGAAACGUACCCACCUUGACUUGAUAACAUAUCCCGUGAGGCAAAGUUGCAUAUGACACAUUGUAAGGGUUCACCAAGUAUGACUUUGCCCACACAUGGGACUUGACACGUUUGGCUAGGAGCCGCUACUAGCUAUCGUUUCAGGCUGUGUCCAUGUGUCCAUGAACCUAUCUAUAGGCCGUGCCCCUAAGGGGAAAGGCCCCAUUUGGAUUCGAUCCGAGUGGAAAUUGGGCAUAGAGUCCUGACGUGGCUAAAGUGUUAAGCCUACCGUGACCUCUAUAUAAUUAGAGGGGAGACCCUAAAAAGGGUUCGACUAGUCCCACGACGCCGUCGCCAUUCCCGCCCACGCCACGUCGUGUGAUUGGGCAUAGUAGUUUGCCGCCUGUCAUUCCUCCCUACACGCGCGGAUACCAUAGAGGGAUGUACCUGCGUCGUUGUGACGAACCAUUUGAGAGAACUACGAUGAAAUGUUUGAGGGAUCCGCGAGGAGGAGACAGAGACGCGCUUCCCAACUCUUCUUCUGCUGUCAUGACUGUGCGUCUAGUGGUAAAACUAGUUCCGUGAUCUAUCUACACAAUAUUUUCCUGGUUCGCGCGGUAGAAAAUUUUCUUUUGCGACCACGUGCCCCGACAACGACACCCCAGUCCCUCCAACAACACUUGGAUGACAAACCAUCUUUCAAUUUAUUUUACAAUUCCCACUAGAGAUUAUGUGUGAACCCAUUCAAAGAGAAGCCCUCAAAUCAUGGCAAUGAAUGUGUUAAAAAAAAUCAUGGCAAUGAAUGUGUUAAAAAAAAUUAUGGCAACGAAGGUGGGCUGAAGAGGGUCUUUCAGAAAUUGAUUAUUCAUACAUCUUAAAACGUUAUGUUUUUCAUUUUUCAUGUCUUUUUUUAUUAGAAUGUGUACCAUUUUAAUAUUCAUUUGGACCAAUAUAUUAACGAAACUGCUCUGUACGAUGCUUUCUCGUCUGACCAGAGAGCAAAUCAUCUCUAAAUGCUAUGGCCCACAAACUGAAUUACCUAUGAUUGUCUCUAAUCGUACGAGUGUUGGACAAGAAUCCAUCAUACCCAUAGCAAGGUUCAUAUAUUAACAAGGCGCCAAAAAGUCAUUUGCCCCAUAUAAAGUUUGACGGGUGGGGCCGGGGCCACUCGCCAUUGAGAGAAGGCAAAUCAUGAAACCCCAUAUAAAGUGGUGCAAAUGAUCCAAAUCCCCUCAAAAAGGCUAGCCUCAAAGGAUCUCUCUCUCUCCAGAAUUCCUAAAGAGAAAAGAUACGCGGUGACAUAAUUGCUUCUGAGAGAGGCAUUUUACACUGCAAUUAUUUAUUUCCAUAAAAAGAAUGAGUAAAUCUCUCCCAGAAUGGAAGGGAAUAAAUUUCCGAAAUUUUUAUCCAGGCAUGAUAUUGGGAACAACCGUAAAAUCAGCUUCCGAGAGAAAAUAAAUAAAAGAGAAAAAGAAAUAUAAUACUAGAAAGAACGAAUAAUAAAUAAAUGAGUAAAAAUUGAAAAGGAAAGACCGGCAGACAGGGAGAAGUGGGACGUGGUGCCCCAGGGCGCUCCUCCCGUGCCGCGUGUCUAUCCGCACGCACAGCCGCUGCCGACACAGCCGAACCACCCAACUGACGGAGCUGGCCCGCACUCCCUCCGGACCCACUUGUCAUGGGAGAAGCCCGACCGCACCGGUGUCCCCAGAAUUAGGCAUUCUGUUCAACGCUGCAACGGCUACUACCAAAAAGCCCAAAAAGCCUGUGAAGUGCCGGUUGGGCUCGGCGCCGUCAUACCUCGCUCGCACAAACAGAGGGGAAAAAAGAGGAUCUCUCUCUCUCUCUCUCUCUACUCCGCUCUGCACUUGCCAUUUUCCCCAAAUCUGUUAGAGAGAGAGAGAGAGAGAGAGCUAGGUUUUCCCUGCGCUCGAGCGAUCCAGCAGGAGCGGCCAUGAACAUCUUCAAGAAGAAGGUCGACCCCAAAGGUACGGCCCAGUUCCUGGAUUCGCGUUGUUCUUUUGGUUUAGAUUGGGGGGUUUCGGCGAUUCUAGCGGGGUUCUAGCCUCGCCUCGAUUUGUCCCCCCUCCCCGUCCCGCCGAUUUGGCCUGAUCCGCGGCCCGGGACUCGGUGCUGCGGGCGUUUCUGUGAUCCAAAGGCGAGAUCUUUGCUGGAUUUCGGCCUUCUUGAACCGGAUUUUUUUUAUCCCCGGUUCUUCGAUGGGUAGGGUUUUAGGGUGACCUAGCGCUUGUGUGGAUGGACGAUAAAUCGAGAAUGUUCUGGGUGUCGGAGUGGAGAAAAUCACUGAAUUCAUGGGCGUGCAAACUGUGAAUUAACUGGCAGUGUGGAGUUUGGUGUCGCGAACUAAUGGCGUGAUGCUUUUGUCACCUGCAGAGGCUCUCAGGACGAGCAAGCGAGAGAUGUCAGUCGCCACAAGAGGUGAGAGCAAAAUCUCCUCUUCUUUUCCUUCCGGUGUUCUGUCAACUUGGCCCAGGCUUUCCCUUCAGUUCUUAUUGGUCCAUAACAUACAUGGCUUAAAUACCACCGAUUCAGCAAUGUUAUUGUGAAUUUGUGAUGUAUGUGAGAUAUUUGAACAUGUGCUAUAUUGACAGCAAACCUGCACAAGUUUCAGAAAUCAGUGUCUUUUUUAAGGCAAUUGAUGAUGUAUCAUGUAACAGAGUUUCACUGAAUAAGAUUGCAACCGACAGCGAUACUAGCUUAAGUAUCAGCUCUUGAAGAAAAAUGUAGCUGGCAAUGUGCUAAUUUCUGACACCAUUUCUCUCCUUUUGCAUAUUUUAGGAGUUGAGCGAGAGAUUGGCUCCCUGCAAAUGGAGGUAUGUAGUAAGUGAAGGGCCUUUUCUUUUUCUUUCUACAAGGCAAACAAUGGGCAGAUUUCACAAAGUUGCUUGGUUGGGUUGAAUCCACUGUUCUCACAUAGUAUGAAUAACUGAUUUUAAUACAAACAAUAUGCUACCGUCUUGGAGCACAUAGGAUUUUUUUCUUCUACGAGUGUGAUAGUAGUUCCACUGCCAUACUGAAGUAGAAUAGAAUGUAUGUCAGGCCCCCACCACACAAUAGAGGCAAUACUGACUCGGUUGAGAUUAGGUAGCCCUGCCACUGUUGAUAUUAUUCUAUUAUUAUGUUUCUGGCGUGCAAUGGACCAGACAGCAGGUUUGCUCCAGAGAUGUUUUUGGAUAGUACCAAAAACAACUUUUCUAGAAAAUAGCUCACUAUUAUAUGUUUUUGGAUCUUUGUUCAGGAAUUAAAGCAACAAACUGCAAAUCUGAUCAGUGCCAUAUUGCAGUUGAUACUUCAUUUUGGACCUUGCACUUAAAUUUAUGUUUUGGUUUUCUUGAUAAAAUUGUUUUAAACCAAGUGAAAAGUGUGCUAAAAUAUUGUUAUUUUUGCAACUGAAAUGCUUAUACACACUUUUAUCGAGGCCGUGAGGUGCCUCAAACUCCUAGAGGUCUUCAUGCCAUCUUGUGCUGCCAUACCCUCAUGCUCUAGGAGUGGAAAGGACAGCAGUUUAGUCCAGAAAGGGUGUGAAACAGCAGCAUCACUUUGCAUCUUUAUUUAUUAUUACUGUAUCAUUAUGGUAGUUCCACUUACCACUCUGCAAUGGCUUGUGUGUAUUGUAUUGUUUGGUUUCCUAACGCCGCAGUGGUACCAUUCCAGGAGAAGAAGCUGGUUGCUGAGAUCAAGAAGACUGCCAAGACUGGAAAUGAGGUAAGUAUCCUAAGAUUUUGUGUAAGAUCCCUAAUCCAUAACAAUUUUCUUAUUGAUGUCUUACAAUACGUGUUCUGUAUUGCUAUAGGCUGCAACCAAAAUUCUAGCCCGGCAACUAGUCAGGCUUAGGCAACAAAUCGUCAAUUUACAAGGUACACGGGCGCAGAUACGUGGAGUAGCUACUCACACACAGGUAUGCCUAGCUUUCAGUUUGAUUUAUACAACUGCAAAUUUUGAGCAUGGACAAAAUACACUUACUACUGUGUGUGAACUAUCUAUUUGUUUAAGGCAAUGUAUGCUGGAACUUCAAUAUCUGCUGGAAUGAAAGGCGCAAGCAAAGCGAUGGCAGCAAUGAAUAAGGUAUGACGAAAGACAGCCAUGGUUGGUUGGCUGUUCAUUAACUAUCGACCUUUUCCAAUCUCUAGUCAGUCUUUUCCUGUCAACUUAUUUGUGAACUGUGUAUCCUGAGAUGGUUGGUGCAAUUUAUUAUUUUUUGUUUCAGCAAAUGGAACCAACGAAGCAGAUGAAGCAGAUGAGAGAAUUCCAGAAGCAAUCAUCUCAAUUGGACAUGACGGUAAUAGCAUUUUGGACACUCUUUAAUUGUUUAUUGUGGUGUUAAGUGCAGAUGCUUAGUUAUAUCGCAUUAUAUAGAUAUGUACGAGUUAGCCAUGAUGGUAAUAAAAUUUUCGACAUGCCUGUAGUGUUAAGUGGAUAUUUUUAGAUAUAUCACAUUAUGCAGAUGUGUUUGUUGGUUAGUUAUUACUUGCUUAGCACAUAUGAAUAAACUAGAUCAGGGAGUACAGACCAGAUGCAAUCAUUGUUGCGUGGGGAUGAUUCAUCCAUUUGUUGUAUUUACUGUGGAUUUCUCGUGAUCUACACUGUAUGAGCAUUCUGAGAUAUCAUCCACUCAAAUUUUUAGCGCAUCCACUCCAUAUUCAUCUGUUCUGAGAGUUCGUUUUGUAAAUUUGUACGCAGAUUGACUAUGUUUCCCUCCAUUGUGCUGUUUCAGAUAUUCUUAUGAAGUAGUAUGAAUCAGUACAACAUCUUAAAAUAAUUAGUUGUUUCAUCCUAUUUAUUGUACAGCAAUCAUUGUUUUCUGUGGACGAUCCAUCCUAUUUAUUGUGGACUCAAAUUGCUCACUCCAUAUCCAUGUGUUCUGAGAAUUCCUUAUGUAAUUUUGUACACACAUUAGCUAUGUAUAUAUAUUAUAUGAAUCAGGUUAGCUGUUUCAGUGUCUUUAUAACUUAUUUGUCAGUUCGGUCAGAUAUGUCACUGUUCUUACAGAUGUAUUCAAAGAAAUGUUCAAGCUGUCAGCUUGAGAUCAAUAACUUAUUGCCAAGAUCCCUUUAAAUUGUUUUUUUUCUUCUGAAAAUUAAGAUCAACUAUUUCCAUGCAGCUUGAGAUGAUGUCUGAUGCCAUCGAUGAAACACUAGAUAAGGAUGAGGCUGAAGAGGAAACAGAAGAGCUCACGAACCAGGUAAAAUGCUAAUUAUAUUCUGCAUUUUGACGAGGGAGAGCGUUUUGGCUCCCUGGUGGGCAAGCAUUUUUGGCACGGUUGUUAGCUGCCUGGCAAAGCUAACUUUCUUACAUGUUUGCUACCAAACGGAUCCCCUCAUUGCUAACUGUUUCAUGAUAUGUGAUAUAUCCCUCUGCCCUCGAUGCAGGUUCUGGAUGAGAUUGGUGUUGAUGUGGCUUCUCAGGUAAAUACGCCUGUUCAUUCUACACUACCAGCGUGCUGAAUCUUAAUUCUAAAUGCUGAUUUUGACGCAUUCGUGAUACUGCAGCUGUCUUCUGCACCUAAAGGCCGUAUUGGAGCCAGUAACAAGAAAGCCGAGAACAACCAAGCACGGUAUACAAUCAUUUCUUCCCCCACAAUCAUAGCUAAAAUGUCCAUCUCAACAGAUGAGCAGACCGUGUUCUUUUUUUUNNNNNNNNNNNNNNNNNNNNNNNNNNNNNNNNNNNNNNNNNNNNNNNNNNNNNNNNNNNNNNNNNNNNNNNNNNNNNNNNNNNNNNNNNNNNNNNNNNNNNNNNNNNNNNNNNNNNNNNNNNNNNNNNNNNNNNNNNNNNNNNNNNNNNNNNNNNNNNNNNNNNNNNNNNNNNNNNNNNNNNNNNNNNNNNNNNNNNNNNNNNNNNNNNNNNNNNNNNNNNNNNNNNNNNNNNNNNNNNNNNNNNNNNNNNNNNNNNNNNNNNNNNNNNNNNNNNNNNNNNNNNNNNNNNNNNNNNNNNNNNNNNNNNNNNNNNNNNNNNNNNNNNNNNNNNNNNNNNNNNNNNNNNNNNNNNNNNNNNNNNNNNNNNNNNNNNNNNNNNNNNNNNNNNNNNNNNNNNNNNNNNNNNNNNNNGCCUUUUACCUGAUGGAAAUGUCAUGCUAUCAGGAAUGCGGCUCCAGCGAAAAAUGUGGCGCCUGAACCUAAUGCCGCUGAAGUUGAUGAUCUGGAGAGGAGACUGGCAUCUCUCCGCCGCAUCUGAGUUGCUGCUGCAAGAAAGUUUAUAUAGCCUUAUAUAUGUAAAUCUGUUUACUGGUGCCUUGUUUCCAAAUUCUGGUAGCUUAAUAUUUUAACCAGGAAACAAGCUAGUACAUGUGACUUGAUAGAACCUGAAUUGUUCUGUUUGGUGUAGCAUAAACUGUCGUGUUGCCAAUCAAAUGUGGCUGAAAAGAAAUAUGGUGGAGCAUAAAUUAUUUAUGAAGUGAACAAAUUACACAAGUUUAGGGCACAAUUACGGGGAAGAAAAUAGAAGGACCCUGCGCAUGUUUUCUUUUUGCCUGGCCAAACACUUCAGAAAUUGCAGGCAACAUAUGAUGAUGAUUCACAACUAAUAUCAAACACACCGAAUGACCCUAGGGGACGAGUAUUUAGAACGUGAUGCCUGCGCAAGUGAAAGUACUAUGCCCCAUGCCUCUAUUUUCAUCGUUGUUAUACAUUUUUACACUAUGUUUGCUACUUCUAAAUAGCUCUUUAAAUUUGUGCGAAAAUACAAUCUCUUGCUUUUAAUCAAUUUCUCUUUUAAGGACAGCUCUUCUAGUGUGUUUUGCUUGACGCUUUUGGGAUACUUACCCGAAGGUGCUACACUACCAUGUGUGUCUUGCAGGCCAUCAGGGUUGACGGUGAUUCACCCUCUAUAUUACAGCACAAGCAUGGCAACCGAGGACUCCACUCAACUUCCAUUUCCCACAUCUACAUGUCCUAUUGAACAACUUGACUUCACAACUUUCUUGGCCACCCAUCACCUGAUAAACACACUCUGGAUGUAUAUGGUGUGUAGUAUUUCACUCUAGCCUUUGCUCUCUCCAACUUCUUACUCAUGACUGGAGUAGUCUCCCAGCCUGCACUUUCUGCUCCACUUUGUUUUAGAGCCAUUCUUGUCAUGAUUCUGGUCCUAAUGAGUUCUAUCAUUGUAACAAUAGGCUUGUCCCUGUAAUCCAAGAAGAUAUACUUGUUUAACACAUCAGAUGAACUGUUGACAACCAGAUCCGUUUUAGACCUUGGACUUAGCAUGCCGGCUGAUUUGUUGAUUAGGAAUAUGCCUGACCCAAGGCCAUGCAUCCUUGUUGUACUUCUUCAAGUACCUAUGUUGUGCUAUUGAGAAAAAUUCUACUCAUUAAUUGUGCUAGCAUAUACAAUCUUGUCAAAGUAAACUUUGGAGACCACUCCCUUGAAUUCAACAUAUGAGGAAAUGGCUAGACCAUGUGUUUUGCAGUACCUUGUUGUGCCAUUGGGAAAAAUUCUCAGAUGCCACCCACAAGUCCCUUUUGCCUAUCAGACAUAAGUAUUCACCCUCCAUGCCUCUCCCUGUCCUAUUGCAGCCUCAAGUUGUCUCAGAAACCAUGUCCAAGUAGAAAGAUCUUCGAUGUUUAGAACUGCAAAGGCCAAUGGGAACAUGUUCUUCCCAUACUUGUAGAUGCAGCAAGCACUUGCACACCAAUUACAAGCAUCACAAAACAACCAUCCAGACCAAUGAAAGGCCCGCAACCAUUUAAAAACCCUUUAAUUUGAUGCACAAUAAUUCGCUGUUAGAAAGACAUGUUGCAAACAUCCAAUUAAGCACUUCUUGAAUAUAAAGAAUGUUUUGCUAAAAAAAAUCAAAAAUGUUGCACAGAAAUAUUUGCACUGUGCCAUGUCUCUUGGCAUUGGGCCGAUGCCAAAAAGUUGAUUACUAGUAACCGCCGUGCAGUUAUCCCAUUCUAACAGCGAGCACCUUAAAAGUUUUUUAAUAGUCCAUGACACGUUGGCCUCAGUCACAUUAAAUUAUUGGUCAUCUUGAUCUUGUUUAGUUGCAUUUAUUUCUGCUCAUCCGCUGCCUUAUAUUGUUUAAUCCUGCAACUCCUUUAAUCAUUUGUUUCCAGCUAUUGAGCCAACUCAUCGCUGGUUUUUUGUUAGGAGAAGUUUGUGUACCUUGCAACUGGGAGACAGGGAGAGCGAUAUGAUGGGGAUAGGAUACAUACUGCCGGACCAAAAUUAUCCGUACACACAUGCAUGCAGAGGAUCAGCCAUUUGCCCGGACUUUACCUCAGGCCGCAGAAUAUAUAAACACCAAAAAUAAGUAAAUAAAUAUAACAUGGUCAUGAGUCCAUGAAAAAUAAAUCACAGAAAUAAGAAAAUAAUCGUCAAAGAGAGAUAAACCAAACUAACCCUUGCAACAUUGGUCUAACUAUCUACUCCUCUGUCUAUAGUGAUAUAAAACGUCUCACAUUUGUUUACAGGGGGAGUAUAUUAUAGUCACCCAUUAUUUUUCUUGCAGAUACCUCUGUGAUGCCAAUGUGAACGGCGGAGACCCAAGACUUCGUCUACAUGAUUACAACAAUUAUAUCUUUGUCCAGCUCUUAAGUGACCCCAACAAACAUAUCGGUCAUUUGAGCCUUUCCAUUGCUCCUCGACUUGCAAUUGCUUUAGAAUACUCACAAAAAUACAAAAGUAGAUAAAUCCAAUGACUUGAUGCAAGUAUGAAGAUAGUUUUUAAAAUUAGACUUGACUUGUCACUUUCGCUCUCCUUCAGCACUUAACAUGCAUUCCCUACUGCUUACUUUUGAGAACAGUGCAAGAAAACUGAUGUUUCCCUGUGGGGUGACCGUGAAGGACGGAGGGAGCACCGAAGACCAAAGACCAGUACGCACAUGGGGUGAGGUUAGGUGCAAUGGAAGUUUCAACUGAUCUGUUGUUUAGUGUUUUCAUGGGUCCCCUUUUAUCUUAUUAAUCGAGCUACUCUAUCAGUCGGUGCCUACUCUGGGCAGGAAAGCCAUCAUGGCGGUUUUCAUUGAUCUGGGAUAAGAGUUACAUCAUCUGCUAUAGCAGCACGAAUAAAAUCUGGGGGUUCUUGUCACAUUUGGUCCCGUACUAGAUUGAGCUAAUAUAUGGGCUGCCCUAUUAGCCUCCCUAGGAUAAUGUGAAAAAAUUACAUGAGUAAAAUUGCGACAAAGGAAAGUGCACUCCUCAUAGAUAGCUGCCGCCACGCCUAGUGAGUUACCGCCAUUCUGCAUGACUUGCACCACUUCCAUACAAUCACUCUCGACUAGGAUCCUGUUACAUCCAACGUUUCCUGCAAUGAACAGACCAUCACGGAGUGCACACACCUCAGCAAUUGACGGUGUAUCGAUUGUAGGGAUGCUCCAACUACCACCUGCAAUUAGAGUUCCCAUACAGUCACGAAUAAUAGCACCCGUCCUCUCCGAACCUGUGACCACAUCAAAUGCCGCAUCCACAUUCAAUUUGGCAAAGCCUUCUUGUGGUUUGUUCCGACCAUGUCUAGUGAUCUGCGUCGUUCUCAAUUUGUUCACUAUGGAGUAAUUCAAUGCCAACACCGAAAUUGCUUGAGCAGACCGAAUGGAUGCUUGCAGAGACUCUCCACGAGUAAACUUUCUUUGUUCCCAGGGGCGGAGCUGGGCCCCGGGCACCCAGGGCCCAGGCCCGGGGCGUGGAAAAUGUAACAGGCUAUUGUUAUAUAUGAUUUUCUGCAGGCCUGGGGUGCAGCCCAGUGAAAGAAAGCAGCCAAAGCCUUGAUGGGCUGUGUUAGGCCUUGUACAAUGCAAGGUGCUUAGGGGAGGUGCUUAGAGAAAUAAAUCAGGUUUUUCUUAAAGCACCGGUGCUUAUUUAUACAGGAUAGACGCUUAACUAAGCAUCUCUCCUGUAGAAAUAGGCACCGGUGCUUCAGAAAAACUCGGUUUAUUUUUCGAAGCACCUCUCUAAGCAUCUCCCAUUGUACAAGGCCUUACGUGAAACAAACGCACGAGGAAAGACCACCAUCCCACGAUCUAACAAUUCUCAAAACAAAAAAAAAUCCUACGAUCUAACUCCCACGCACGAGACGCAGCGCUGUUGCUAAAAAAAGAAGAGGAAACGCAGCGCUCGCGCGGCCGCCGCCAAGUCGCAUCGAUCUCCAGAGUCCAGAUCCCAGCGCUCGCGUGGCGCCGCCGUCCGCAGUGGCGUCGCAUCCGCCCCGCCACUCCCUCUGCUCCCGGUCGCCGCCCUCCUGUCCUAUUCUUCGUUCGCCCCGCGGCAUCCCUGGCUAUUUCGCUGCUUGCUGCCGCUGCCGCUGCUUGUAUGUUUCUAAUUUUCGUUGAAGCAUUUUCUGUUUCCCCCUGAUUAGUGUAUAAACUGCUUCGAACUGAAAUUUAAUUGAAAUAAUAUGUGUAUGUAUGCAUCCAGUCAUAUAUCUAGGGUAUUGUUGAACUCAAAUUGAUGUAAUUGCCAAUUUCAUUUCAUAUUGCAGAAAAUGAAGAUUAAGAGAUUUUUUUCACCGGUUUGCUAAAUAGAGCAAGAUGUAUUUGCAAGUAUUGACGAUGGUGAUAUUUUAUAUGGCUUUCAAACAUAUAUAGGUCUCACAAAGGGCUUUUAUCUCGUUGAAGUGGUAAGUUUUUACAUUUGUAUUAAUGAUUAUUGUUUCACUUCAGGUUUAUGCCUUCUCUUAUGAAAAAUUUCUUUUGAUGUCUUGAAGGUGUUGGCUUUUCUUACAUCGUUGAUGAGGUUACGGGAGGCACAAGUGAAGCAAACCAUUGAUUUGGUUUUUUUUAUCAUGUACUGUUUAUUGUUUAACAUGUUUUUAUCUAUUCUGUUUUAUUUGUUAGAAUAAUCCGAGGCACUCCGUCGAUCUUCCAAGGAUCAAGCAAUCACACGAGCACGAGCACGACACCGAGAUUUGUUAACGAGGUUCACCAUCAUGGCUACAUCCCCGAGGCCUGACUACGGGCGCUCCUCCCCGUGACACCGCUACAAUACCGCACCACGGCCGCCGGGCGCCGGCACACGCCGCUGGUUCCCCCGCGUGCCUGUGCUAUUAUGUUGGCAUAGGUUACAUCAUGUGUCUACCCCCGAUAUAUAUGAGAGGCCUAGGAUAUAAGUGUUCUAUUAGAACACAACUAUUACCCUGUCUACACACAGUCCAAAACCAAGUCCAACUGUAACCUACCUUGUACAAUAAUAUUCGACACAACUCUAACAUUAUUGUUAAGCAUUCAAUUUAAAAUUCUAAUUUUUUCGUGUAAUUGAGCCAUAUUUUAGGGUGUCUUUUGAGGUAGCUAAAAGCCUUAUGAACAUCGAGUUUUUCCCUCCGGGUGAAUUUUUUUUUAGGCCCGGGGCUUGCUUCAAUCCUGGCUCCGCCACUACAUAUACUACCCACAAAACGCGGUCCAGAGGUUCACCAUUAGCAGCCCCGUCCUUCAGAAGCAAGGAAUCCAGAAGCUCGCGCUCGUCUCCUUCUUCUCUGCUGCGAGGUACCAAUCCGUUCCAACUUCGCCAGUCUUCUAGGCUAGCAUGCCAGCCGGCGGCGAACCGCACGAGAUGGCUGCCUUGCACGCGCUUUACGUUCCAGCUAUCGCUGCUGCUGGCGGCUUUGUGGGGUACUGGCAGUGGCGGAGUUAUGUUGGGGCCAGGGGCCGCUGCCCCCCCCCCCCCUCCCCCCAGCCUUUUGGCAAAGCCCUCUUGUGGUUUGUUCCGACUAUGUCUAGUGAUCUGCGUCGUUCUUAAUUUUUUCACUCUGGAGUAAUUCAAUGCCAACACGGAAAUUGCUUGAGCAGACCGAAUGGAUGCUUGCAAAGACUUUCCACGAGUAAACUUUCUUUGUUCCCACCAUGUGUACCAGCACACAACAAUAACAAGAUCACACCGUUGAACACCUGCCAGGGUACGCUAUUUGUAUCUAGUAGCGGCCUUUCUAGGGGCCCGAUCCCGUCGACCACCGCAAAGCAAGCUUCGUCAGUGGUUUCGUCGUUCCCAGGAACGUCCAGAUCUCUUUUACCCUUGGGCAUGUGAGGAACAUAUGGUUUAUACUUUCACAUCAAUGGAGCAUAUAGGGCAUUGACUCCGGCUCUGAAUAUGGCGCUUUGCUAGAACGCCAUGACAUGGGUUCGAUUGCCACAUACAGUGAUUGGCGGCAAUGAAUUUUCACUUUUGCCGGCGUCUUCAAUUCCCAUAAUGCCUUCUAUACCGGAUUCUUCAUAGAUGAAUCAUAUCGGCGACAUUUCCUGGUGGGUCCACGGCAGUGCGACGUCAGGAUGCAUGCAACGAGUACCCGCAGCUUGUUUACCCGGUGGAUUUUACCUGCUAAAAGUUAUGUGUUUGGUAAAGAAAAAUACCCACGGGUAUAUAUGUAAUUGGUAAAAGAAAAACCCGAAUUCUUAAAAGUGCAGCUGCGCUCUUUGACGAACCCGAGUGCACGCGCUGCAGCCAUCCAUUGGCUCGCGGCCCGCAUGAUCAUCAUUCGGAUUUAGAAAACUGUCCACCCAUCCAUUCUAUAUAUGGAAAGAUUCUCUACAACAGUAGGUUGAUUUUUCGUCACCUGGUCCGACCAACCAUGUGAACUCAACAAUGAUGUAGCAUGCAUUAAUUUCGGUAUGAGAAAAUUUUAAAAAGCUAUAACUUUCAAACCACGUGUCGGAAUUAUGAUCAGUUUUCACUGUUGGGUUCCUCAUGACGAACUCUUUAAAAUUAUAUCUCAUAUGAAUAUGUUUUGAAGGUUUUUUUGAAAAGCAACUUUGAUGCUAGAUGAGGCAACUUUAGUGCUAAACCGGAGCAACUUUGAUGCUAGAUGAAUUGCAUUGUGUGUAUUAGUGAAUUCACCUAAUAACAUACUAAUAGUUGUGUGCAGUAGUCUAAUAGUAGAUGGUUACCAAGGUUGCUAAGUUGCAGACAUCGGAGACUAAUUUGUAGAUAGUUUAGUUGUCAACGAUACUGUGAAAGUUGUUUACCGUAGAGUGAAAAGUUGUCUAACAUAGUUUCUAUGUUGUCUCCCUCAAAAACCAAGUUGCCUAUAUUGCUACGAAGUUGCCUACGGGUGAUCCCCAAUUGACUAAAAUACUAAGGAAGUUGUCAAUCAAGGGACAUAAGUUGCCUACAAUGUCGAAAGUUUUUUUAUGGGAUGUCUAUCAUGAUUCCACAUUUCGAAACUAUGUGCGGAUGGAUGGUAUGAGAGCCUUUUCCUUUCCUUUUCCAGGGUAGUUUGCCCGCCUACGCUACUGAGCACGCAGGUGUUGGCUAGCCAGGUCAUGGGUGUUGACUAAUUGUAAAAGGCGGGAUAGAUGAGAAGUUGCAUAGGGGUGAUGAGAAAUUUCAUAGGGGGCGGAUCAGACAGUUGCCUGCAAAUUUACACAAGUUGUUCAUAAUUUUGGCACGGGUUGCCCGCAAAAAUCAUUGAAAUCUCCCGAUAUAAUGAUGAAAAACAUAUAUGAGUUGCUUGAUGGAUGCACUGGAGUUGCACAAAAACAUACUAAAAGUUGUCUGCAUGACUAGUGAGUAGCCUACAUUAUUCUAAGUUGCAUACAAUACUUUUUCAGUGUGGUAAGCAACUUCGUUUCAUAUAUAGGCAACUUAGCAACAUCCACGGACAACUUUUCAAUAUAUUAUAGGCAACUGAAAUAGAAAUGGCAGUCAACUGAGCAUCACUAACAUGCAACUUCAUAAUGUUUUUAGGCAACUUAGAAAAAACAAUUAUAAGCAUCUUCCUAAUAUUGUAGGCAACUAAUUUGCGAAGUUAGAGAACUGAGCAGUAAUGGUAGGUAACUAUUUACCAAUAGCAGGUAAACUAGGCAUCAAUAAUAGGCCAAUUUCAUAGUAUUGUAUGUAACUGGGCAUCAAUAAUAGGUAACUGAACAUCCAUGGUAAGCAACUGAGCAACCAUGGCAGGCAAGUUGUGAUAAUAUUUAGCAAAAUUCGUUGAUACACAUGGUGUAGUGAAGUUGCUUAUUUUUAGCAUUAAAGGUGUCUCAUGUUUUAUGUGAUUUUCUCAUUUUUACACAAACCAAUCUAAUAAGCAGUCCUACUAGGCAAAAAAUGAAGUUGCUUUCCUAUAGCACUAAAGUUGCCUUCAUUAGAUCCAAAGUUGCCUCGAAAAAAAGUUCGACGAAACCUAUCGAUAUGAGAUCUAGUUUUGAAGAACUCGUCGCGAGAAACCCAAUUGUGAAAAUGAAAUUGAAUUUCGACGCUUAAAUCAAAAGUUACAGUUUUUUUUUAAAUUAACCCCAAAUAAAUGCACGUGGAGACAAGAUUCCUUUUUGAUGGACCAGGUCAAAGGUGCGUCGGCUGCUCCUUCCAUAUUUGAAAGAGCGCUCAAUCCCACCAACCAGCGCUCGGGCGCCUGUAGUCAGGUCCAAAUAAAAAUUACCCGCCACCGGAUAUUUCUACUGGUAACGGUUUAUGGUGCAAGGGGUGGGUACGGGUUUGGUAAUGACAAACCAAUACCCGACCCGGCCGGUUGCGAUCCCUAACGAGAAUAUUGCAUUAGCUCUCGCAGAUACCUCGAAGGUUUUAUUUUGCAUCACCGAAAGAAAAAUGUCCGUAAGAUGCUAAUGUGAACAGCGGAGACCAAAGACUUUGAUCUUCAUGACUGUAACUAAUAUUUUUGUCCAACACCUCGUUUGUGGCCAAAGCAAGCGGCAAUGUGGCAACGCGGCGCCAACCUAUAUUCAACAAACAUACAAGUAUAAAUAGGUUACCCCUAAAGCCCACCAAACAUACAGUACAAAAUACAACCCUUCGGAAAAAAAAACAUACAAGAUGCAAACAGGUCUUGAUCAGCGGUUGGCGCUCUGAAUCAGCUCAACAUAUAUGCUCGCCUAGAGGGAGCUGAUCGGUGCGGAAAGUUGUUGACCAGCCUAUAACAAAAUGCCGCGGCUCCUCCUGCUUCUCUUCCUUUGCGUCUCGGUGUUGGCCGCUGCACCUGCACAGGCCUAUCAAGACAAGUGCGACAUCAAAGCCGCCGUUGGCAACGAUUCAGACACCGGCAAAAAUGAGGUAUCGUAUCUGAACUCGAUCUGUAGUACUAGCAUGCAGCAUGACUCUUAACUUUAAAAGUGGGGUAGUAGUAAUUAUGGCUGCGUGUGCAUGUACGUACUGGUGUACCAGGCGCCCGGGAUCGACGAUCUGUUCUAUGUUAUGGACAUCGACAUCGAGCUCGAGCAGGCCACCGGCUUGGAAUUGGGUUUGUCUCAGGGUGAUGCUAUCGAAAUGGACCAACCUAUUCCUAGUACCAGCGCCGCCUUCCAAUCACCGGAUUUAAUCAACUGCCGGGCGAUCAACUGGUAAGAACAUUAAUUACCUCCAAUGCAAUAUGGCAUGCAUCCUGGAGCCCUACCUGUUUGUUUGUUUGUUUGUUUUUGUGAGGGAAGCCCUACCUGUUUGGAAUCACGAUGCAUGGUUUUGACUUUGUUUCUAGUCUAGUUCGAAUUAAUUCGAACCAAAAUACAUACAUACAAAAUCACUAUCAAUAUGAAUAUUAUCUUGUAGGACGAUUGAGGAGCGCCGUCGUGCUUGCCUGGCCCGCAUUGUCAGUCAUGUUUACUCCAGGGAGAAGAAAGCUAUCCCCCUAAGUCCCGACACAGGCUUCCGCCUCCACGGGGAGCCGCUCGAGGACGGCGACUACGUCUAUGCUGCCAUCUACGAGUACGUGGGCCAAGGCCGUGAGGACAAGUCCGCUCCGCACUUGAUCGUCGCCUUCCGAGGCACCGACCUGUGCUGGAAACGGAGGGCGGCGAGGGACGUCUGGUUCAACUGCCUAAUCACUUAGACGUCGUCAAGUACGCCCGUCGCUUCAAGCUCGCCUACCAAAAGCUCGGCCACCUCAUGCUGGAUAAUCCAGGUCGCCCCGUUUGGCUCACCGGGCACUCUGCCGGCGCGUCCCUGGCGCUGCACGUGGGGACUCAUAUGGUGCUCAAGAAGGAGAUCAAACUCCCGACUUUCGCCUUCAACCCACCGGUGGCCAUACUUGGCUGGUUGCCCGUUCCCAAGCGCGUAAAGAAGCUCAUUGGACCGCUGAUCCCGUCCAAGCGCAAGCAAUCGUUGAAGCUGUGCAGUUGGACUCCGGUGCUGUACGUGCACCAAAGAGACUUCUUCUUUUGCAGGAGGAUCAUUGGUUGCUUGGAGAAGCCGACCAAGUUGGACAAGUGGGUCAUCAACCUGCCGUCCCUGACCAUGUGUGCCAACUCUGCCAUUGUCCAAGCCGGGGGAGAGCAGUGUGGACCACACAGCAUUAAACAGUGGUUUUGUCCCAAUAGCGAGCUCAACAUGACCUGUCAAGAUAUAACCUGUCAAAAUAUCCAAGAAUAUCGGAAGCAUAUUCCUCAGGCUCUCAGCCGGUUCAGCCUAGGCCAUGCUAGCAAGGGCUUACAUGCUAAAUAUCAGGGCUAUGAAUUUCCUCUCUUCAGCUCAGAUGUACCACAAGCACCCUACGUCCAUUAAAUAUUUGCAAGUAGGAUUUGUGUACCACUACAAGGUUUCCCUACGUCUAUUAAAGAGUCUGUUUGUAAGUUUUCUUAUUUUCCAUGUUGUGCAAUCAGUGGACUUCAGAAGUUCACUAAUUAAAUACUAGAAAAAAUAUACAUGCGUUGGACGGGGAAAAUAAUUAGCUUCAAUGAAAUAUUUCAAUUCGUUUCGGAAAUUUGAUCGAUGUAUAUGAGAAUUAUCGCAUAUUUUUCGGAAAAAGGACGAAAAACCCCACCAUCUUAAGCCGUACAGCCCACAAAUUGUGAGAUAGAAAGUGAGUAUGUGUAGAGAUGCAUCUGUAAGUGCUUCUAGUGUCACCCCUAGUUGGUUUUGGAGUAUUGACGACAAACCUGGAAGACAUUGAAGACAAUGGCGGUCUGUGAAGAUAUUCACAUUGAAGUCUAUGACAGAGAAGACAUCGCAUGAAGACUAUGGAGCGCGAAGACUUAUUUGUUUCGUUGUUUCCUUUUCUUCUUCGUUGAGUCAUAGGAACCACCGUACUAUUAAGUGGGGUCCAAGUGAACAAAGUCAGGGUGACUGAAGUGAUGCUCAACCAAAUCCUAUGUCUUCAAGCGAAGACAAUGAGAGCAAAUCUUAUCCAGAGUCGGAUAAGGCAGCUUUACUUGUAGCCCAAGUCAAGUUGCCGCGUGUGUUUGAAAUCUGACCAUUGGAACACGUGUCAGUUCAUUAGUGACCCAGAGUCAUUUCGGACAAAUCAGGUCGGGUUGCCUAGUGGCUAUAAAUAGCCCACCCCCUACACCAUAAAUUGGUGGCUGCUCAGAGUUAGUGCAAGGCUUUUGUCGUUUGAGAGCAACCCACCUCCGAAGCAUUUCAGAGAGAGAUCCUUGCGAGGACAAAGCCCAAAGCACCCAGAGCCAAAGAGUGUUAGGCAUCACUGAAGUCUUUCUGUCCGCGUGAUCUGAAGACUUGUUACACUUGAGGACUGUGAAUCCUCCAGCCGGUUAGGCGUCGCGUUCUGAGCAUCCAAGAGUCAUUGUGGAUUGCCGGUGAACGAAGUCUGUGAAGAUUCGGAAGUCUACCUUGAAGACUUACCAGAGUGAUUGGGCGAGGACUGGGUGUCCUUAGCUCAAGGGGAAUAAGGUAAAGACACGGUCUUCUGAGUUAAAUCUUAGCCUCCCUAACCAGACGUACAGUUGUCACGGCAACUGGAACUGGUCGAACAAAUCACUGUCCUCUCCAAGCUACUGGUUCUAUCUCUUCCUUCUCUUUACUUUCAGUUUAUUUUCGUGAAGUCAUUGCCUGCUUGCAUUAUCUGUUUGACUUCACUGUGUGACUACUUGUUCUGAUUGGCUUCAUACUAUCUUCCAUCCUGAUCCAUACUGCCUAGCUGCUAAUAGUCUUCGUGCUUUCACUUCAUUGAAUACUUGACUAUGGCUUGCCUAGUGUAGUCUACCUUCCGCUGCAUCAAUAGGAUCAUUUCUAUCGUUUGUCUUCGAAACUCCCAUGUUUUGAAGACUUUCAUAAAAAUCGCCUAUUCACCCCCCUCUAGUCGAUAUCCAGCUCUUUCAAUUGGUAUCAGAGCAAGGCACUCCCUUGUUCUGUGUGAUUCGGUUUAACCACAUGGAGUUUUAGCUAUGUCGACUGCAGGGAUAAUCAAAGUCUUCGCUGCGUGCCCUAUCUUCGAUGGCACUGAAUACCCCUACUGGAAGAAUAAGAUGCGCAUGCAUCUUGAAGCCAUUGAUGUCGACCUCUGGUAUGUCGUCAAGAACGGUGUUCCCAAGACCAGUGAAGGUGUCACCCCUGCUGAUGUCAAGAAGUUCGUUCAACUGGAUUCCACUGCCAAGAACAUCAUCUGUGGUCAUCUGACCAAAGGACAGUAUGGCCGUGUGAGUGCUUUGGAAACAUCGAAGCUUGUCUGGGACUGGCUCUCCAAGGUCAACGAAAGCGUCUCAACCCAGAGAGAUCAAAGGAUCAGUGUCCUUCGCAACCUCUUCAACCGCUUCAAGAGACACGCCAAUGAGAACGUCCAGCUCACAUUCGAUCGCCUCACUGAUAUCACAAAUGAGCUUCAGGCACUUGGUGCCACUGAGAUCACCAAGCAUGAAAUCGUCAAGACACUCCUGAGAUCACUUAACAGCUCGUUUGACACCCUAGCCCUGAUGAUUCAAGAACGCCCUGACUUCAAGACUCUCGAUCCGUCUGACAUACUUGAGAGGCUCAACACACAUGAGUUUCAGCUAUCUGAGAAACGAGAUAUCUAUGGUCCCAACUAUGGCCGAACUCGCGCUUUGAAGGCAAAGGCUGUUUCCUCAUCUGAAGAAGAAUCUGACUACAGUUCUGGUGAUCCUGAAGACAUUGGAAAGGAGCUUGCUAUGCUUGUGAAGAAGUUCCAGAAAUUUACUAAGAAGAAAGGCUUCAGAAAGUCUUCACGAUCCAGCUCAAGAAAUGAUGAAGCUUCUACCCAUGACCACAAGAAGAGAACAUGCCACAAGUGCAAGAAACCUGGUCACUACAUCUCUGAGUGUCCACAGUGGGACAAUGAGAAGAAGAAGAGCAAGGAAUAUGAUUCUGAUGACAAGAAGAGGAAGAAAUCCUCAAAGUCUUCUUCCAAGUCUACAUCGAAGUCUUCAUCACACAAGAAGAGUUCAUCUGGCAAGGCUCGUGCUUUUGUUGGCAAGGAGAUGGAUUCAGAGGAGGAGUCUGCUUCUGAGGAGGCGGAGGUGGAGUCUGAGGAGGAGUCCGAAUCUGGCGUUGCAAGUCUGGCUCUAGCUACAGCCUACGUUGCCAAGUCCAUCUUCAACACUGAAGACAGUGGCUCCGUCGCCAACGCUGAUGCUAAUGACAAGGACGACUCUGCUCCCACCUACUGCUUCAUGGCACGCGGUGCCAAGGGUAUGACACCAAAGUCUUCAGAAUGGAUUAUGGACAGUGGAUGCACUAACCACAUGACUGGCGAUCGAAGUCUUCUGAUGGAUUCAACACUACGUCCAUCGGACAAGAGUCACAUCACAUUUGCUGAUACUGGUAAAAGCAAGGUAUUGGGUCUAGGUAGAGUUGCAAUCUCAAAGGAUCAACACAUGGAUAAAGUCAUGCUUGUUGAAUCCCUUGGUUUCAACUUAAUGUCUGUCUCAAUGCUUUGUGACUUGAACAUGAUUGUGAUAUUUGGAAAAUAUUGUUGCCUUGUACUAAUGGAAUCUGACAAGUCUCUAGUCUUUGAAGGAUAUCGGAAAGAUGAUCUGUAUAUGGUAGAUUUCUCAGCAGGACCACAGAUGGCCGUAUGUCUUCUAGCAAAAGCUUCAGAGUCCUGGCUUUGGCAUCGAAGGCUAGGGCAUGCUGGCAUGAGGAACUUGCACACUCUCGCAAAGAAGAAACACGUCGUAGGCAUCGAGGGCGUCAAGUUCAAGAAGGAUCAUCUGUGUGGUGCCUGCGAAGCUGGGAAGAUGACUAGGGCCAAGCAUCCCUCGAAGACAAUCAUGACGACAUCUCAACCCUUCGAGCUGCUACACAUGGACUUAUUUGGUCCUACUCACUACUCUACUCUCACAACUACUGCUUGUCUCUAUGGCUUCGUCAUUGUUGAUGAUUAUUCAAGAUAUACUUGGGUGCAUAUAAUCCUCUACAAGAAUGAAGUGCAGGAUGUCUUCAGACGCUUUGCCAAUCGUGCCAUGACGAACUAUGGCGUCAAGAUCAAGCAUAUCAGAAGUGAUAACGGCACAGAGUUCAAGAACACCGGCCUCGACCUUUACCUGGAUACAUUGGGCAUCACUCAUGAGUUCUCUGCUCCGUACACACCUCAGCAGAAUGGCAUCAUGGAGCGCAAGAACAGAACUCUUAUCGAGAUGGCUCGAACGAUGCUUGAUGAGUACAAGACUCCUAGGAAGUUCUGGCCUGAAGCCAUUGAUACUGCAUGCCAUGUCAUCAACCGAGUUUAUCUUCACAAGCUUCUGAAGAAGACAUCCUAUGAACUCCUAACUGGUAAGAAGCCAAAUGUCAGUUACUUCAGAGUAUUUGGUGCUAGGUGCUGGAUCAAGGAUCCACAUCACACUUCAAAAUUUGCACCGAAAGCACAUGAAGGUUUUAUGCUUGGUUACGGAAAGGAUUCACACUUCUACAGAGUUUUCAACCUCUUUCACUAUAAAGUGGUUGAAACUAUAGAUGUGCGGUUCGAUGAGACUAACGGCUCGCAAAGAGAGCACCUGCCAAAUGUGCUAGAUGAAGCUCCACCUAGUGAAUCCAUCAAUUUCAUGGGAACUGGAGAGAUCAUACCUUCUGAGGCUCAGGCUGAAGACGAACUUAUCAUUUCUGCACCUAAUCAACCUGAAGAAAAUGCUCAGCCUAAAGACAAUCCUCCAAAUGAUGACAAUGAUCAGCAAGAGCAAAAUCUUCGUCCAGUUCAUCCUCGUGUUGCAAAUGAAGUACAGAUUGAGAAGAUAAUUGAUAGCAUCAAUGCACCUGGUCCACUCACUCGUUCAAGAGCAACACAGCUAGCAAAUUUUUGUGGGCACUUUGCAUUCGUCUCAAUCUCUGAACCCAAGAAAGUUGCUGAAGCCUUCAUGGAACCUGAAUGGAUUCAAGCUAUGCAAGAAGAGCUUCAACAGUUCGAGCUGAACAAUGUGUGGGAAUUAGUCAAGCGUCCUGAUCCUCGCAAGCACAACAUCAUAGGCACCAAAUGGAUAUAUCGCAACAGGCAAGAUGAGCAUGGUCAAGUUGUCAGAAACAAGGCUCGUCCUGUUGCUCAAGGAUAUACUCAAGUAGAAGGGAUUGAUUUCGAUGAAACAUUUGCUCCGGUGGCUAGGCUUGAAGCUAUUCGCAUACUGCUAGCCUAUGCCAACCAUCACAACAUCCUUCUGUAUCAAAUGGAUGUGAAGAGUGCCUUUCUCAACGGCAAGAUUGAGGAAGAAGUAUAUGUUGCACAACCUCCUAGCUUUGAAGAUCCAAAACAUCCUGAUAUGGUAUACAAGCUCAACAAGGCACUGUAUGGCCUCAAACAAGCCCCUCGUGCGUGGUAUGACACACUCAAAGACUUCCUAAAGAGCAAAGGCUUCAAACCUGGUUCCCUAGAUCCUACACUCUUCACGAAGACAUAUGAUGGUGAACUGUUUGUGUGCCAAAUCUAUGUGGAUGACAUUAUCUUCGGCUACACUGACAAGAGAUACAAUGAUGAGUUUGGUCACAUGAUGCAAGAGCAUUAUCAAAUGUCCAUGAUGGGUGAGCUGAAGUUCUUCCUUGGUCCGCAAAUCCGUCAGCAACGCAACGACAUCUUCAUAUCUCAAGAAAAAUACCUCAAAGAUUGCCUGAAGAAGUUUGGAAUGCAAGACUGCAAAGGAUACACGACGCCAAUGCCAACCAAAAGUCAUCUGAGUCCCGACGCCAAUGGUAAAGAUUUCGAUCAAAAGGUAUACCGCUCCAUGAUUGGUUCUUUACUCUAUUUAUGUGCAUCUAGGCCAGAUAUAAUGCUUAGUGUUUGCAUGUGUGCCCGAUUCCAAGCGACACCAAAGGAAUCGCAUCACUUAGCUGUGAAGCGAAUUCUUCGAUAUUUGGCUUACACCCCAACACUAGGAUUAUGGUAUCCAAAGGGCUCAGAGUUUGAUCUAGUUGGAUUCUCAGAUGCUGAUUAUGCUGGUGAUAAAGUCGAUCACAAGUCCACAUCAGGCACAUGUCACUUUCUGGGACGACCACUUGUCUGUUGGUCUUCAAAGAAGCAGAACUGUGUAUCUCUCUCCACUGCUGAAUCUGAAUACAUUGCUGCUGGAUCUUGCUGUGCUCAGCUUCUCUGGAUGAAGCAAACUCUCAAGGACUAUGGUGUCCAUCUGAAGCAUGUGCCACUCUACUGCGACAAUGAAAGCGCCAUCAAGAUUGCAAACAACCCAGUUCAGCACUCAAAGACAAAGCACAUUGAAAUUCAUCAUCACUUUCUCAGAGAUCAUAUCAUGAAGGAAGAUAUUGACAUCAUUCACGUCAACACUGAAGAGCAAUUGGCAGAUAUCUUCACAAAGCCCUUGGAUGAGAAAAGGUUUUGCAAGUUGCGGUGUGAGCUAAAUAUCUUGGAAUCCUUGAAUGUCCUGUGAUUAGGCACACAUCCUAACACUUAUGCAUGUUGAUGACUUAGAUGUGCAACACACGAAGUAAUGUAUAUCUUCAAUCAAUGAAGACAUACACUCUAAGUGUGAAUGCAUUAAUGCGGAAUUUGACUUCAGAGCGCCAUGAUAAUUGUGCGUCGUGUCUGGGUCUAAUACUUCCUAUACGGUGGGUAACGCCACCACCAAACUUUUGUUUGAAGUGUUUCUCUUGGCGUUAUAAUUGCAAAGUCUUCGCAUUUGAUUUGUCUUCAACAUUGAUUUGACUUCAUGAUUAUCUUCACAAUGUUGAUUUGGUCUUACUCCGACAUAUACUUAUACUUGUGUUUUGUCCUCUACAGCAUUCACUUAUAGCUAUGUCUUCUCGUUUGAACUCUUUUGGACUAAGUGAAUGUGAUCGGACCCUAACCUCUCUAUGCUUCUACCUCAAAUUCUAUCUAUCCAAAUCAUAUGCAUUCUAUUGAAACUGUCGAAUGUCUUCUCUACGUCCUUGUCAGCAGAAGAUAUAGAGACAAACAUUAAAUCUAUUUUAAAUGCUUAGUCCUUAUUGCCUGAAACCCGGAGGAGCCGGAACGACCACCCCGACAGUCCAGGCGUGCGUGGGAACAUGGAACAACUUCCAAUGUGUUGCAUGUUCACCACGUGUCCUUCAGAUGCGAACCGCCAGGGGCACCUGUGUAAUUGCGUUGUGUUGUCCCUUUCCUUAUAAAUACACAUCUUAUUGCGGUCAAAAUCUUUCUCCCACCUCGCCACCUCGCACAAACCCUAGCGCCAACGCUAGCUCGCGAUGACGCCGACGACGAAGCGCUUAGUUGUCGCGACCUCGUCGACGCCGUCCUCACGCCGGCCGCGGACCUCGUCUUCUCCGCCGCCGCCGUAGGUGUCCUCCGUCGCCAAGUUAGGGCACGGAAGAUCGAAAUGCUCGGCAUCCUCUCUACUCCGUCUAGCAGUUCAUCGUGUGGUAAUUAAAACUCACUUUUUACUGUCUUUUUGAUCUGAUGGAUUCAUCUUUCCCUACCAAAAGUAGUUUCUGCUUCCACAAAUCUGGAUCUAUCCUGUUCUGCAUCUCAUAUCUCGCCGGGUAUAUUCACUUAUGCUUCACAACAAGUUAGAUUCCUCACUUGUACCUAUUCUUGGAUUCGUACAAAUCUGGAACCAACUCUCACCAAAUAAGUGAAUGUCUUCGCGCUAUGAGGUCAAUGUCUUCAAACUGAUUUAUCUUCAAAAUCUUCUGAGAAUGCAUAUGACCUCUUCCCCUUCCCUCGCAUCUCUAAUGUUGUCACAGGUACAUGUCCGUGGGAGAAUCCCUUGGUUCUCAUAGUCUGCAUUCAUUUGCAGAAUUCUUACAACGUCACAUCAAUUCUCCCGAAGCCAGUUCUUGUCUGACCAGCAGACGGAAUCCUUUGAAAACUUUGAAGCCAUUCAGUCUGAACUACAUGGCCACAGAAAAGUCAGCAAGGAAGGGAGGCAAAUAGCACAGUGGGGGCACUUCCAUGGAUUUGCCACCAGAUCUGUAUGAACUAUACAAGACAGACCCUGAAGAAACCUAUGGAGAACGCAAGACUCGAAUCCAAUGGAUUCGAAGAUAUUGGGCCGAACAAUGGUUCAAGUACAGAUUCGUCACCAAGGAAUAUGCUGAAAAGAAUGCCAUCAAGCGACCUUGGGGAGAUAUUCUCUACAAAAAUCUUCAACCCAAGUCCAGGUCUGAAGCUAUUGCUCAGGGUUUCUACCCUUGCAUGGUCCGUGGACCACAACCCGUUGAUGCCGACCCAUCAUCUCUGCUAUGGUGUCGAGAAGAUAGCUUGUUCAAGCGCAACUACAAGUUUGCCAAGGACUCUGCUAUAAAGAACAAGAAAAGCCUCGGAUGCCACUUCAAUCCUGGUCCUUCUGCUCCACGGGCUGAUGGCACACAUGAUGCCAAUCCUAAUGUCAUCGGCCCCUUCGACAACUUUGAUGGUCUCCUCUCCUACAUCGCCGCUCAGAGGGCCACAGUGGAUCAGUCUGGAGAUGAAGCUGAUUCUGAUGAAGCUCCUGCUCCGCCGAAGCCUCAAAAGCAGAAGAAACCCAAGGCUUCAAAGCCCUCCACUGCACCAAGAGCUUCGCGUGCGAAGCCACUGGACACUGCUCCUCCUGCACCAAGUGUGCAUUCUGAAGAUCUAUCUCGCGUCUCCAAGAAGAAAGAGAAGCCUCAAAAGAAAAUUGUCAAGAGUUCUGGUCAAGCACUGACCCCAGCUGCAGUUCUGAGGAAUGAGAACGAAGCCAUUGAUCUGUCUAGUGAUGACAAUCUUGGCGACGAUGCUCUCGAGCUGUUGAUAAAGAGCAAGCAAGAGGCAGAAAUCUUCAACGAUCUUCCCCUUUUCGAUGUAGACAUCCUGAACAAGUUCAUUGAUGAGUGGUUUGACAGCCCCAACCUCAGUUUUGAUGAUCUUCAGCUCCCAAUCGGCCUCAGCUUCUCCUUCCAUGGAGCCAUUGCUCCUGAGUUGGCUCUAGCCCAGAGACUUGUUGAACUGAAGCACAAGAUUGACUAUGAAAAAGCCCAGUUCAAGAAGCAUAUGGCCAAGCUCAGUGUGACUGAUGUCCAAAACUUCAAGCAAAUGAUGCAUGAGCUCAAGGAGGCGUUUCACAAGAAACGUGACGAAGCUAAAGGUUCUCGAGAGCGCAUGAAACUCUGCCAAAUGUGUUCAAGCUUACAAUGAAGCUGAGAAGCGCAAGGCACUUGGGCGUCCUGGCAUUGACCCCAAGAUGGCUGCCAAGCAGAAGAAGCCAACUGUGGCCCCAGCUGAAGCAUCCAGGCGGGAAGAACCUCGCAUUGUCUUCCCCGCCAGCAUGACAGGCGUGAAGCCUAAGGUCCCCAUAGUGGCUUCUGAACUCAAGAAAACAAGAACAGCCGAAGCCGAAGCCAGAAAGCGCAAGAACAAGAACACCACUGAUGAUGCGCCACCAACCAAGAAGAGAAAGACAAAGAAGAAAGAUCGGGCUGCUCCCACAGAGCCCCUUGUCGUCGAGCAAAUUUCAGUUGCUCGUCAUGCGUCUGCACACCAAGAGCGUUAAUUGAUCGUUCAUGAGCCUGCUUUCACAGAGGCUCCUGAAGCUCAAGAAGAACCAGCUGUUGACCACACCACAGCUGAAGACAUUGGUCCCCAAGACAAUGUAGAAGAUGAUGAAGUCCUUCCUCAGAUUGAGAACCUAAUGGUAUCAUCGCCUGUUCUCACAAACAGCGAACUCAUCAGCAUUGGUCGUCCUUUGGCGCCAAUCGCUCAGGAUGAUUCAUGGGCUAAUCACCCUCAAAACUCCCCUCGUGAAGAAGAAUUGCCACGUACUCCCCCAACUCAAGUCACCUCUCCGGUGCUUGAUGAUGACGACUUUGUGGCCCAGCCAACUCCCUCUCCACAAGCAUCGCCCGCAUUUCGCAAGCUUCGUAAAGGUCCAAGGCCACAAGUCGCUCAGUCGAGCGCUCCAGAAGAAGAAGAGCACCACCACUCAGUAUCACACCAAGUGUUUCCUGAAGCCUCUCCAUCUGCGAAUGUCUCUGUGUCUGAAGCCAAUGCUGCUGAAGACAUUCCGGCUGCAUCAGCCGAUGAACAAGAUGAACCAAGAGAAGAAGAAGAACGUGUUGCUACACCCCCGUCCAACCCAAAAGUUGUUCCCGAGGAGAACGUGUCCGACCCUCCAGCUACUCAAGUGGAGGUUGACAACAUUGAGACGGCCACAAACAUCAAUACUGAAGCCAUGACAACAUGUGGCGCCAGAAGUGAAUGCAUUUGAUGCCAAUGUUGCACCAGAAGCCAUUGUACCACUUGCAGCUCACGUCAAUGCCGAUGCUCCUGUACCACCUCCAAGGCCACACACUAUCGAGCUGGCAUUUGAUCGCGGCCAACCUGUCAUGGUUCGCUGGCCCAUUCUGGUUCCUCCACCUGCUGCCGCUCCACAAUUUGACUAUCAUGUAGAGAAUAGGCCUCAGGUCCAGAAGCCUAAGCCAAGGUUGCCAAGGUUUCCAGGUACUGCAACUUCACCGGGAUCUUUCAAUGUGAAUGGCUUCAUUGCACACAACACCUUCUUUGACAGCGACAAGAACCCAUACUCAAGGCCAAGAAUUUCAUCUGAUCAGUUCUGGAGCUACCAACAGCGCAGUUACUAUUCAUGUGUUCUUUAUGAUCAAGGGCGCAUCUUUCCCCAUAUGCGUCUAGACUGUGAAGCUAUUGCUGGACUGCCCUGCUUAGAAGAAGCCCUUGACUGUUUCCGAGAUGCUGGUCUGCUGCCAUUUGUGACUGAUAAAGAGCACUGGAAUGAAGAGCUUCUGCUACAAUUCUAUGCCACCCUCCACAUUCGCGACUACAACAGGGAUCCGAAGACACGGAUCCUUGAGUGGAUGACAGGCAAUGUCCAUCACGAAGCCAAAGCUCUUGAUAUCAUUGAGCUAACUAGCCUGCCCACUCUAGGUGAACUCUUUGAACCUGGUUGUCAGCUUCACCGCAAUGCUUUGGAGAGCAUCUUCCAGAAGCCUGAGCCCAACAUGAGCCAAAUGCUGAGCAUGAUGAAGCCUCUGCCUCGCGACGCUGAAUAUCCCCGGGAAUUCUUUGUUGAAGACCUAGAGUAUCUGCCCCGCACCAUUUAUCAUAUCAUCCGGCGAACUCUAUGGCUUGUCAAAGGACAUUCUCCUGCAGCGAAGCUGGAAGGAGCAAUGAAGACAUUGGUUUUCUACAUUCUCAAUGGCAUCAGCUUCAAUGCUCAAGACUUCUUCAUCAGGCAAUUGGCUGCAUCUGGCUCUGAUAUCUUUGGUCUGAAGUUCUACGCUCCAUGGGUUAUGCGCCUUAUCAAGCUUUAUUCUGCGGUCAACUAUCAGCCGUCUGCAUGCAACCAUUUGAUAUUCUUGCCAGAGGUUGAUAUGUCUGUCGAAGCCAUCUACCCAGAACCUGCCAAGGAGCCUAUUUAUCUUCACAACGCUGAUUGCCAAAGCUUCACUCAACCCAUUGAAGGAGUUCUGGCUGCCACUCGUGUUUAUCCUUUGGCUGGCAAUACACGUGCACCUCAUCGUGCCCAUACUGAAGCCACUGAAAGCACAAUUGCCCAAAGGCCUCGGAAGCGAUCUCGUGUUCUCAACGACCGAGAGCUUCUCGCCGCCCUGCAUCAAAAACAGGAUAAGCAUCACUACUGGCUGAUGCGUCGGAUGCAAAGCCUCUUGGUGGAUGUCAACCGCAUUCGCAAUCUUGCCACCAAGAAUGCCUUUGUUACUCAUGAAACCUGUCGGAAGUCGUGGAAGAGUUUGACAUUGCUCAGUGCUAAAGCUGAUCUUCAAGAUGAUGGCUUCACCGAAAGAUUCAAGUUUGAUUCCACUCCUCCCAGGAAUGCUGUCCUGCGUCGAACUCCCUCACUCGAAGACUCUGAGUACUCUUCCUCCGCAGCAACAGUUAAUGCCAGAGUCAUUGAUGACGAAGAUGAUGUUACUUCACCACAUCCAACUUCGGCGCGUAUCAACACUGCACCGAGUUCUUCUGCACCACCAAACCUCAACGACGACCCUGCUGCUUCACCUACUCCUCAUGGGAACGAGUAGAGGCUCUAUGUCUUCAAACCUUUUUGGUCCUUACUGACAAAAGUGGGAGAAGCAUAUGAGUUGAUAGUCUUCAAGCGGGUCCAUAUGGGUGGAUGCUAUACUUUUUCCAAGUGGUUACAACUCUCGUUUUUGAUACAUUUGGUUCUUUGAGUUGUAACACUUAAACUUGAUGGUCGUCUGCUACUUUUUCUGCUAUUCUGUGAUGCGAUGAUAAAUUCUGCAUGUGUGAUGAUAAAUCCCACACGAAGUCAUAUUGUAGACGUCCAUUUUUCAUUAUGCAUAUCAUUAUCUUCGUUAUAUCUUUUAUGCAUGAUGAAUUGUCUUCAUAAGUUGAAGUGGAUCUCCACAAGUACAACCUGCCAUGUGCAUUUGCAUUCCAAAAGCAAAAUACUGAUAUGCACAUCUUCAGGGGGAGCCUUUUGCUACUUAUGAAUACAAUACCUUAAUCCUCUACAAUUUCACAUAAUUUUAUCCCCGUUGAAAACUUCAACCAGUUUGUCAUCAAUCACCAAAGAGGGGGAGAUUGUAAGUGCAUCUAGUGCCACCCCUAGUUGGUUUUGGAGUAUUGACGACAAACCUGGUUGAGGGACUGAUGUGUUUGCGAGAAUUGCAGGAUAACACAAGUAGUAGUCCCUCAUUGAUUCGGUUUACCUACCGGAGAUGACCCCUAAAAAUGUGUGAAUGAUAACCCACAAGUAUAGGGGAUCGCAACAGUUUUCAAGGGUAGAGUAUUCAACCCAAAUUUAUUGAUUCGACACAAGGGGAGCCAAAGAAUAUUCUCAAGUAUUAGCAGCUAAGUUGUCAAUUCAACCACACCUGGAUAACUUAGUAUCUGCAGCAAAGUAUUUAGUAGCAAAGUAAUAUGAUAGUAGUGGUAACGGUAACAAAAGUAACGGAAGCAAAAGUAAUAUUUUUGGUGUUUUGUAGUGAUUGUAACAGUAGCAACGGAAAAGUAAAUAAGCGAAGAACAAUAUGUGAAAAGCUCGUAGGCAUUGGAUCGGUGAUGGAGAAUUAUGCCGGAUGCGAUUCAUCAUGUAACAAUCAUAACAUAGGGUGACACAGAACUAGCUCCAAUUCAUCAAUGUAAUGUAGGCAUGUAUUCCGAAUAUAGUCAUACGUGCUUCUGGAAAAGAACUUGCAUGACAUCUUUUGUCCUACCCUCCCGUGGCAGCGGGGUCCUAAUGGAAACUAAGGGAUAUUAAGGCCUCCUUUUAAUAGAGUACUGGAACAAAGCAUUAGCACAUAGUGAAUACAUGAACUCCUCAAACUAUGGUCAUCACCGGGAGUGGUCCCGAUUAUUGUCACUUCGGGGUUGCCGGAUCAUAACACAUAGUAGGUGACUAUAGACUUGCAAGAUAGGAUCAAGAACACACACAUAUUCAUGAAAACAUAAUAGGUUCAGAUAUGAAAUCAUGGCACUCGGGCCCUAGUGACAAGCAUUAAGCAUAGCAAAAUCAUAGCAACAUCAAUCUCAGAACAUAGUGGAUAUUAGGGAUCAAACCCUAACAAAACUUACUCGAUUACAUGAUAGAUCUCAUCCAACCCAUCACCGUCCAGCAAGCCUACAAUGGAAUUACUCACGCACGGCGGUGAGCAUCAUGAAAUUGGUGAUGGAGGAUGGUUGAUGAUGACGAUGGCGACGAAUCCCCCUCUCCGAAGCCCUGAACGGACUCCAGAUCAGCCCUCCCGAGAGGUUUUAGGGCUUGGCGGCGGCUCCAUAUCGUAAAACGCGAUGAAUUCUUCUCCUUGAUUUUUUCUCUCCCUGAAAGCAAAUAUAUAGAGUUGGAGUUGAGGUUGGAGGAGCUCCAGGGGGCCCACGAGGUAGGGGGCGCGCCCCCCACCCUCGUGGACAAGGUGUGGGCCCCCUGGUCUUCAUCUUUUGCAAGGAUUUUUUAUUAUUUCCAAAUAGACGUUCCGUGGAGUUUCAGGUCAUUCCGAGAACUUUUGUUUCUGCACAUAAAUAACACCAUGGAAAGUCUGCUGAAAACAGCGUCAGUCCGGGUUAGUUCCAUUCAAAUCAUGCAAAUUAGAGUCCAAAACAAGGUCAAAAGUGUUUGGAAAAGUAGAUACGACGGAGACGUAUCAACUCCCCCAAGCUUAAACAUUUGCUUGUCCUCAAGCAAUUCAGUUGAUAAACUGAAAGUGAUAAAGAAAAACUUUUACAAACUCUGUUUGCUCUUGUUGUUGUAAAUAUGUAAAGCCAGCAUUCAAGUUUUCAGCAAAGAUUAUGACUAACCACAUUUGCAAUAACUCUUAGGUCUCAUGUUUACUCAUAUCAAUAGCAUAAUCAACUAGCGAGUCAUAAUAAUAAAUCUCGGAUGACAACACUUUCUCAAAACAAUCAUGAUAUGAUAUAACAAGAUGGUAUCUCGCUAGCCCUUUCUGAGACCGCAAAACAUAAAUGCAGAGCACCUUUAAAGAUCAAGGACUGACUAGACAUUGUAAUUCAUGGUAAAAGAGAUCCAGUCAUAGUCAUACCCAAUAUAAAUUAAUAGUAAUGGAUGCAAAUGACAGUUGUGCUCUCCAGCUAGUGCUUUUUAAUAAGAGGGUGAUGACUCAACAUAAAAGUAAAUAGAUAGGCCCUUCGCAGGGAAGCAGGGAUUUGUAGAGGUGCCAGAGCUCGGUUUUGAAAUAGAGAUAAAUAAUAUUUUGAGCGGCAUACUUUCAUUAUCAACAUAACAACCAAGAGAUGGCGAUAUCUUCUAUGUGUUGGGGAUCGUAGCAGAAAUUUAAAAUUUUCUACGCAUCACCAAGAUCAAUCUAUGGAGUUUACUAGCAACGAGAAGGAAAGGAGUGCAUCUACAUACCCUUGUAGAUCGCGAGCGGAAGCGUUCAAGUGAACGGGGUUGAUGGAGUCGUACUCGUCGUGAUCCAAAUCACCGAUGACCGAGCGCCGAACGGACGGCACCUCCGUGUUCAACACACGUACGGUUGGGGAAGACGUCUCCUCCUUCUUGAUCCAGCAAGGGGAAGGAGAGGUUGAUGGAGAUCCAGCAGCACGACGGUGUGGUGGUGGAAGCAGUGGGGAUCUCGGCAGGGCUUCGCCAAGCUCAGCGAGAGGGAGAGGUGUUACGGGGAAGAGGGAGGCGCCAGGGGCUUGGGUCCGGCUGCCCUCCCUCCCCCCUCUUUAUAUAGGGGUCCAGGGGGGCGCCGGCCCCCAGAGAUCCCAUCUCAAGGGGGGGCGGGCGGCCAAGGGGGGGAACUUGCCCCCCAAGUCAAGUGGGGCGCCCCCCCACCCCUAGGGUUUCCAACCCUAGGCGCAGGGGAGGCCCAAGGGGGGCGCACCAGCCCACCAGGGGCUGGUUCCCUCCCCCACUUCAGCCCAUGGGGCCCUCCGGGAUAGGUGGCCCCACCCGGUGGACCCCCGGGACCCUUCCGGUGGUCCCGGUACAAUACCGGUGACCCCCGAAACUUUCCCGGUGGCCGAAACUGGACUUCCUAUAUAUAAUUCUUCACCUCCGGACCAUUCCGGAACUCCUCGUGACGUCCGGGAUCUCAUCCGGGACUCCGAACAACUUUCGGAUUUCCGCAUACUAAUAUCUCUACAACCCUAGCGUCACCGAACCUUAAGUGUGUAGACCCUACGGGUUCGGGAGACAUGCAGACAUGACCGAGACGACUCUCCGGUCAAUAACCAACAGCGGGAUCUGGAUACCCAUGUUGGCUCCAACAUGUUCCACGAUGAUCUCAUCGGAUGAACCACGAUGUCGAGGAUUCAAUCAAUCCCGUAUACAAUUCCCUUUGUCAAUCGGUACGUUACUUGCCCGAGAUUCGAUCGUCGGUAUCCCAAUACCUUGUUCAAUCUCGUUACCGGCAAGUCACUUUACUCGUACCGUAAUGCAUGAUCCCGUGACCAAACACUUAGUCACAUUGAGCUCAUUAUGAUGAUGCAUUACGGAGUGGGCCCAGAGAUACCUCUCCGUCAUACGGAGUGACAAAUCCCAGUCUCGAUUCGUGCCAACCCAACAGACACUUUCGGAGAUACCCGUAGUGCACCUUUAUAGCCACCCAGUUACGUUGUGACGUUUGGCACACCCAAAGCACUCCUAUGGUAUCCGGGAGUUGCACAAUCUCAUGGUCUAAGGAAAUGACACUUGACAUUUGGAAAAGCUCUAGCAAACGAACUACACGAUCUUGUGCUAUUCUUAGGAUUGGGUCUUGUCCAUCACAUCAUUCUCCUAAUGAUGUGAUCCCGUUAUCAAUGACAUCCAAUGUCCAUAGUCAGGAAACCAUGACUAUCUGUUGAUCAACGAGCUAGUCAACUAGAGGGUCACUAGGGACAUGUUGUGGUCUAUGUAUUCACACAUGUAUUACGAUUUCCGGAUAACACAAUUAUAGCAUGAACAAUAGACAAUUAUCAUGAACAAGGAAAUAUAAUAAUAACCAUUUUAUUAUUGCCUCUAGGGCAUAUUUCCAACAGUCUCCCACUUGCACUAGAGUCAAUAAUCUAGUUACAUUGUGAUGAAUCGAACACCCAUAGAGUUCUGGUGUUGAUCAUGUUUUGCUCUAGGGAGAGGUUUAGUCAACGGAUCUGCUACAUUCAGGUCCGUAUGUACUUUACAAAUAUCUAUGUCUCCAUUUUGAACAUUUUCACGAAUGGAGUUGAAGCGACGCUUGAUAUGCCUGGUCUUCCUGUGAAACCUGGGCUCCUUGGCAAGGGCAAUAGCUCCAGUGUUGUCACAGAAGAGAGUCAUCGGGCCCGACGCAUUGGGAUAACUCCUAGGUCGGUAAUGAACUCCUUCACCCAGAUUGCUUCUUGUGCUGCCUCUGAGGCCGGCAUGUAUUCUGCUUCACAUGUAGAUCCCACCACAACGCUUUGCUUGCAACUGCACCAGCUUACUGCCCCACCAUUCAAAAUAUACACGUAUCCGGUUUGUGACUUAGAGUCAUCCAGAUCUGUGUCGAAACUAGCAUCGACGUAACCCUUUACGACGAGCUCUUCGUCACCUCCAUAAACGAGAAACAUAUCCUUAGUCCUCUUCAGGUACUUCAGGAUAUUCUUGACCGCUGUCCAGUGUUCCAUGCCGGGAUUACUUUAGUACCUUCCUACCAAACUUACGGCAAGGUUUACAUCAGGUCUGGUACACAGCAUGGCAUACAUAAUAGACCCUAUGGCCGAGGCAUAGGGGACGACACUCAUCUUUUCUCUAUCUUCUGCCGUGGUCGGGCAUUGAGCCGUGCUCAAUCUCACACCUUGCAAUACAGGCAAGAACCCCUUCUUGGACUGAUCCAUAUUGAACUUCUUCAAUAUCUUGUCAAGGUAUGUGCUUUGUGAAAGACCUAUGAGGCGUCUCGAUCUAUCUCUAUAGAUCUUGAUGCCUAAUAUGUAAGCAGCUUCUUCAAGGUCCAUCAUUGAAAAACACUUAUUCAAGUAGGCCUUUAUACUUUCCAAGAAUUCUAUAUCAUUUCCCAUCAAUAGUAUGUCAUCCACAUAUAAUAUGAGAAAUGCUACAGAGCUCCCACUCACUUUCUUGUAAACACAGGCUUCUCCAUAAGUCUGUGUAAACCCAAACGCUUUGAUCAUCUCAUCAAAGCGAAUGUUCCAACUCCGAGAUGCCUGCACCAGCCCAUAGAUUGAGCGCUGGAGCUUGCAUACUUUGUCAGCAUUCUUAGGAUUGACAAAACCUUCCGGCUGCAUCAUAUACAAUUCUUCCUUAAGGAAGCCGUUAAGGAAUGCCGUUUUGACGUCCAUUUGCCAUAUUUCAUAAUCGUAGAAUGCGGCAAUUGCUAACAUGAUUCGGACGGACUUCAGCUUCGCUACGGGUGAGAAGGUCUCAUCGUAGUCAACUCCUUGAACUUGUCGAUAACCCUUAGCGACAAGUCGAGCUUUAUAGAUGGUAACAUUUCCAUCCGCGUCCGUCUUCUUCUUAAAGAUCCAUUUAUUUUCUAUCGCUCGCCGAUCAUCGGGCAAGUCUGUCAAAGUCCACACUUUGUUUUCAUACAUGGAUCCUAUCUCGGAUUGCAUGGCUUCAAGCCAUUUGUUGGAAUCUGGACCCGCCAUUGCUUCUUCAUAGUUCGAAGGUUCACCGUUGUCCAACAACAUGAUUUCCAGGACAGGGUUGCCGUACCACUCUGGCGCGGAACGUGUCCUUGUGGACCUACGAAGUUCAGUAGGAGCUUGAUCCGAAGUACCUUGAUCAUCAUCAUCAUUAACUUCCUCUCUAGUUGGUGCAUGCACCACAGGAACAUUUUCCUGAGCUGCGCUACUUUCCGCUUCAAGAGGCAGUACUUCAUCUAGCUCUACCUUCCUCCCACUUACUUCUUUCGAGAUAAACUCUUUCUCCAGAAAGGACCCAUUCUUGGCAAUGAAGAUCUUGCCUUCGGAUCUGAGGUAGAAGGUAUACCCAAUGGUUUCCUUAGGGUAUCCUAUGAAGACGCAUUUUACCGACUUGGGUUCGAGCUUUUCAGGUUGAAGUUUCUUGACAUAAGCAUCGCAUCCCCAAACUUUAAGAAACGACAGCUUAGGUUUCUUUCCAAACCAUAAUUCAUACGGUGUCGUCUCAACGGAUUUCGACGGAGCCCUAUUUAAAGUGAAUGCGGCAGUCUCUAAAGCAUAACCCCAGAAUGAUAGCGGUAGAUCGGUAAGAGACAUCAUAGAUCGCACCAUAUACAAUAGAGUGCGAUUACGACGUUCGGACACACCAUUACGCUGAGGUGUUCCAGGCGGCGUGAGUUGUGAAACAAUUCCACAUUUCCUUAAGUGUGUGCCAAAUUCGUGACUCAAAUAUUCCCCUCCACGAUCUGAUCGUAAGAACUUUAUUUUCCUGUCACGUUGAUUCUCAACCUCACUCUAAAAUUCCUUGAACUUUUCAAAGGUCUCAGACUUGUGUUUCAUUCAGUAGACAUACCCAUAUCUACUCAAGUCAUCAGUGAGGGUGAGAACAUAACGAUAGCCACCGCGAGCCUCAACACUCAUUGGACCGCACACAUCAGUAUGUAUGAUUUCCAAUAAGUUGGUUGCUCACUCCAUUGUUCCGAAGAACGGAGUCUUGGUCAUCUUACCCAUGAGGCAUGGUUCGCACGUGUCAAAUGAUUCGUAAUCAAGAGACUCCAAAAGUCCAUCUGCAUGGAGCUUCUUCAUGCGUUUGACACCAAUGUGACCAAGGCGGCAGUGUCACAAGUAUGUGGGACUAUCAUUAUCAACCUUAUAUUUCUUGGCAUUCACACUAUGAACAUGUGUAACAUCACGUUCGAGAUUCAUUAAGAAUAAAUCAUUGACCAGCGGGGCAUGACCAUAAAACAUAUCUCUCAUAUAAAUAGAACAACCAUUAUUCUCGGAUUUAAAUGAGUAGCCAUCUCGAAUUAAACGAGAUCCUGAUACAAUGUUCAUGCUCAAAGCUGGCACUAAAUAACAAUUAUUGAGGUUUAAAACUAAUCCCGUAGGUAAAUGUAGAGGUAGCGUGCCGACGGCGAUCACAUCGACCUUGGAACCAUUCCCGACGCGCAUCGCCACCUCGUCCUUUGCCAGUCUCCGUUUAUUCCGCAGCUCCUGCUUUGAGUUACAAAUAUGAGCAACCGCACUGGUAUCAAAUACCCAGGAGCUACUACGAGUGCUGGUAAGGUACACAUCAAUAACAUGUAUAUCACAUAUACCUUUGGUAUUGCCGGCCUUCUUAUCCGCUAAGUACUUGGGGCAGUUCCGCUUCAAGUGACCACUUCCCUUGCAAUAAAAGCACUCAGUCUCAGGCUUGGGUCCAUUCUUUGGCUUCUUCCCGGCAACUGGCUUACCGGGCGCGGCAACUCCCUUGCCGUCCUUCUUGAAGUUCUUCUUACCCUUGCCUUUCUUGAACUUAGUGGUUUUAUUCACCAUCAACACUUGAUGUUCCUUUUUGAUCUCCACCUCCGCUGAUUUCAGCAUUGAAUAUACCUCAGGAAUGGUCUUUUCCAUCCCCUGCAUAUUGAAGUUCAUCACAAAGCUCUUGUAGCUCGGUGGAAGCGACUGAAGGAUUCUGUCAAUGACCGCGUCAUCUGGGAGAUUAACUCCCAGCUGAGUCAAGCGGUUGUGUAACCCAGACAUUUUGAGUAUGUACUCACUGACAGAACUAUUUUCCUCCAUCUUACAACUGAAGAACUUGUCGGAGACUUCAUAUCUCUCGACCCGGGCAUGAGCUUGGAAAACCAUUUUCAGCUCUUCGAACAUCUCAUAUGCUCCGUGUUGCUCAAAACGCUUUUGGAGCCCCGGUUCUAAGCUGUAAAGCAUGCCGCACUGAACGAGGGAGUAAUCAUCAGCACGCUGCUGCCAAGCGUUCAUAACGUCUUGGUUCUCUGGGAUGGGUGCGUCACCUAGCGGUGCUUCUAGGACAUAAUCUUUCUUGGCAGCUAUGAGGAUGAUCCUCAGGUUCCGGACCCAGUCCGUAUAGUUGCUGUCAUCAUCUUUCAGCUUGGUUUUCUCUAGGAACGCGUUGAAGUUGAGGGCAACAUUAGCAUGGGCCAUUUGAUCUACAAGACAUAUUGUAAAGAUUUUAGACUAAGUUCAUGAUAAUUAAGUUCAUCUAAUCAAAUUAUUCAAUGAACUCCCACUCAGAUAGACAUCCGUCUAGUCAUCUAAGUGAAACAUGAUCCGAGUCAACUAGGUCGUGUCCGAUCAUCACGUGAGACGGACUAGUCAACAUCGAUGAACAUCUUCAUGUUGAUCGUAUCUUCUAUACGACUCAUGCUCGACCUUUCGGUCUUCCGUGUUCCGAGGCCAUGUCUGUACAUGCUAGGCUCGUCAAGUCAACCUAAGUGUAUUGCGUGUGUAAAUCUGUCUUACACCCAUUGUAUGUGAACGUUAGAAUCUAUCACAUCCGAACAUCACGUGGUGCUUCGAAACAACGGACUUUCGUAACGGCGCACAGUUAGGGGGAACACUUUCUUGAAAUUAUUAUAAGGGAUCAUCUUACUUACUACCGUCGUUCUAAGCAAAUAAGAUAUAAAACAUGAUAAACAUCACAUGCAAUCAAAUAGUGACAUGAUAUGGCCAAUAUCAUUUUGCUCCUUUUGAUCUCCAUCUUCGGGGCGCCAUGAUCAUCUUCGUCACCGUCAUGACACCAUGAUCUCCAUCAUCAUGAUCUCCAUCAUCGUGUCUUCAUGAAGUUGUCACGCCAACGAUUACUUCUAUUUCUAUGGCUAACGUGUUUAGCAAUAAAGUAAAGUAAUUUACAUGGCGUUAUUCAAUGACACGCAGGUCAUACAAAAAUAAAGACAACUCCUAUGGCUCCUGCCGGUUGUCAUACUCAUCGACAUGCAAGUCGUGAUUCCUAUUACAAGAACAUGAUCAAUCUCAUACAUCACAUAUAAUUCAUUCAUCACAUCCUUUUGGCCAUAUCACAUCACAAGGCAUAUGCUGCAAAAACAAGUUAGACGUCCUCUAAUUGUUGUUGCAUGUUUUUACGUGGCUUCUAUAGGUUUCUAGCAAGAACGUUUCUUACCAACGUAAAACCACAACGUGAUAUGCCAAUUUCUAUUUACCCUUCAUAAGGACCCUUUUCAUCGAAUCCGAUCCGACUAAAGUGGGAGAGACAGACACCCGCUAGCCACCUUAUGCAACUAGUGCAUGUCAGUCGGUGGAACCUGUCUCACGUAAGCGUACGUGUAAGGUCGGUCCGGGCCGCUUCAUCCCACGAUGCCGCCGAAACAAGAUAAGACUAGUAGUGGCAAGAAAAAUUGACAACAUCUACGCCCACAACAAGUUUGUGUUCUACUCGUGCAUAGAAACUACGCAUAGACCUAGCUCAUGAUGCCACUGUUGGGGAUCGUAGCAGAAAUUUAAAAUUUUCUACGCAUCACCAAGAUCAAUCUAUGGAGUUUACUAUCAACGAGAAGGAAAGGAGUGCAUCUACAUACCCUUGUAGAUCGCGAGCGGAAGCGUUCAAGUGAACGGGGUUGAUGGAGUCGUACUCAUCGUGAUCCAAAUCACCGAUGACCGAGCGCCGAACGGACGGCACCUCCGUGUUCAACACACGUACGGUUGGGGAAGACGUCUCCUCCUUCUUGAUCCAGCAAGGGGAAGGAGAGGUUGAUGGAGAUCCAGCAGCACGACGGUGUGGUGGUGGAAGCAGCGGGGAUCUCGGCAGGGCUUCGCCAAGCUCAGCGAGAGGGAGAGGUGUUACGGGGAAGAGGGAGGCGCCAGGGGCUUGGGUCCGGCUGCCCUCCCUCCCCCCUCUUUAUAUAGGGGUCCAGGGGGGCGCCGGCCCCCAGAGAUCCCAUCUCAAGGGGGGGCGGCGGCCAAGGGGGGGAACUUGCCCCCCAAGUCAAGUGGGGUGCCCCCCCCACCCCUAGGGUUUCCAACCCUAGGCGCAGGGGAGGCCCAAGGGGGGCACACCAGCCCACCAGGGGCUGGUUCCCUUCCCCACUUCAGCCCAUGGGGCCCUCCAGGAUAGGUGGCCCCACCCGGUGGACCCCCCGGGACCCUUCCGGUGGUCCCGGUACAAUACCGGUGACCCCCGAAACUUUCCCGGUGGCCGAAACUAGACUUCCUAUAUAUAAUUCUUCACCUACGGACCAUUCUGGAACUCCUCGUGACGUCCGGGAUCUCAUCCGGGACUCCGAAAAACUUUCAGAUUUCCGCAUACUAAUAUCUCUACAACCCUAGCGUCACCGAACCUUAAGUGUGUAGACCCUACGGGUUCGGGAGACAUGCAGACAUGACCGAGACGACUCUCCGGUCAAUAACCAACAGCGGGAUCUGGAUACCAAUGUUGGCUCCCACAUGUUCCACGAUGAUCUCAUCGGAUGAACCACGAUGUCGAGGAUUCAAUCAAUCCCGUAUACAAUUCCCUUUGUCAAUCGGUACGUUACUUGCCCGAGAUUCGAUCGUCGGUAUCCCAAUACCUUGUUCAAUCUCAUUACCGGCAAGUCACUUUACUCGUACCGUAAUGCAUGAUCCCAUGACCAAACACUUGGUCACAUUGAGCUCAUUAUGAUGAUGCAUUACUGAGUGGGCCCAGAGAUACCUCUCCGUCAUACGGAGUGACAAAUCCCAGUCUCGAUUCGUGCCAACCCAACAGACACUUUCGAAGAUACCCGUAGUGCACCUUUAUAGCCACCCAGUUACGUUGUGACGUUUGGCACACCCAAAGAACUCCUAUGGUAUCCGGGAGUUGCACAAUCUCAUGGUCUAAGGAAAUGAUACUUGACAUUUGGAAAAGCUCUAGCAAACGAACUACACGAUCUUGUGCUAUGCUUAGGAUUGGGUCUUGUCCAUCACAUCAUUGUCCUAAUGAUGUGAUCCCGUUAUCAAUGACAUCCAAUGUCCAUAGUCAGGAAACCAUGACUAUCUGUUGAUCAAUGAGCUAGUCAACUAGAGGCUCACUAGGGACAUGUUGUGGUCUAUGUAUUCACACACGUAUUACGAUUUCCAGAUAACACAAUUAUAGCAUGAACAAUAGACAAUUAUCAUGAACAAGGAAAUAUAAUAAUAACCAUUUUAUUAUUGCCUCUAGGGCAUAUUUCCAACACCAUGCUACACACAUUAUAGGCGGUUCCCAAACAGAAUGGUAAAGUUUAUACUCCCUCUCCACCAGCAAGCAUCAAUCCAUGACUUGCUCGAAACAACGAGUGUCUCCAACUAGCAACAGUCCCAGGGGGAGUUUUGUUUGCAAUUAUUUCGAUUUAGUUUGCAUAAAGCAUGUGACUGGGCAUCCCGGUGACCAGCCAUUUUCUCGUGAGUGAGGAGCGGAGUCCACUCCUCUUGAGAAUAACCCGCCUAACAUGGAAGAUAAGGGCAGCCCUAGUUGAUACAUGAGCUAUUCGAGCAUACAAAACAGAAUGUUUAUUUGAAGGUUUAGAGUUUGGCACAUACAAAUUUACUUGGAACGGCAGGUAGAUACCGCAUAUAGGAAGGUAUGGUGGACUCAUAUGGAAUAACUUUGGGGUUUAAGGAAUUGGAUGCACAAGCAGUAUUCCCGCUUAGUACCGGUGAAGGCUAGCAAAAGACUGGGAAGCGACCAACUAGAGAGCGACAACAGUCAUGAACAUGCAUUAAAAUUAAUAAACAUUGGAUGCAAGCAUGAGUAGGAUAUAAUCCACCAUGAACAUAAAUAUCGUGAAGGCUAUGUUGAUUUUGUUUCAACUACAUGUGUGAACAUGUGCCAAGUCAAGUCACUUAAAUCAUUCAAAGGAGGAUACCACCCCAUCAUACCACAUCACAACCAUUUUAAUAGCAUGUUGGCACGCAAGGUAAACCAUUAUAACUCAUAGCUAAUCAAGCAUGGCACGAGCAACUAUAAUCUCUAAUUGUCAUUGCAAACAUGUUUAUUCAUAAUAGGCUGAAUCAGGAACGAUGAACUAAUCAUAUUUACAAAAACAAGAGAGGUCGAGUUCAUACCAGCUUUUCUCAUCUCAGUCAGUCCAUCAUAUAUCGUCAUAAUUGCCUUUCACUUGCACGACCGAACGAUGUGAAUAAUAAUAAGAGUGCACGUGCAUUGGACUAAGCUGGAAUCUGCGAGCAUUCAAUAAACAUGAGAAGACAAGGCAAUAUGGGCUUUUGGUUAAAUCAACAAUAAUGCAUAUAAGAGCCUCUUCAACAAUUUAAUCAUGGUCUUCUCCUAUCGACCCCCAAAGAAAAGAAAAGAAAAUAACUAUUUACACGGGAAAGCUCCCAACAAGCAAAAGAAGAAGGGGAAAUCUUUUUGGGUUUUCUUUUAAUUAUUACUACUAUGGCAAAAAAAGUAAACUAGAUAAAAGCUACACUAAUUUUUUUUGGUUUUUCUUAAGGUUUAACAAACACACAAGAAGAAAGCAAGAAAAAGAAAAUAAACUAGCAUGGAUAGUACAAUGAAAGAGUAUGAGCACCGACAUCUAGCAAUGAGUGUGCGUAAACAUAAAUGUAAUGUCGAUGGGAAAUACGUACUCCCCCAAGCUUAGGCUUUUGGCCUAAGUUGGUUCAUUGCCACGGAUGGCCUGGCGGACACCCAUAGGUGUAGCUGGGGUCGUACUGAGAUGAAGAGGAAUCUGACUGCCACUGGCUGGCAGUCAUCUCCGGAUCCCAAAAGUAAUCAGACUGUCGUGGAGGCUCAAAUUGUGGUUCCGGCUCCGGGGCUGGUGUAGGGUUCCGGUAAGCUUGAAUGGCCGGAACGACAUACGGACCUUCAGAUAAAUUAAACAAGGAAGGAGCAGGCAAGGUAAUAGUCUCAGGGUGAGGUUUAUCAAAGAACAAUUUGUAUUUAAGCUCCCCUUCCCUAUUCUUAACAAUAAAGUCAUGUGCUAACAUACUCUUAUAAUCUAAAUAAGCAUUGGGCAACAAUUUUUCUUCUUUCUCAUAGAGCCUAAUAGGUAUGUUAUAAUGCGUAGCUAGGCGUGAAGCAUAAAUACCUCCAAAGAUGGGACCCUUAGUACGGUUCAGACUUAACCGUUUAGCAAUAAUACCGCCCAUACUAACAGUGUUAUCGGAAUAUAAACCAUGGAGCAAAAUGAUAAUAUCAGGGACACUAAGGUUUCCACAGUUCCCGCGACCAAUUAAGCAACGACUAGCAAAUAUAGCAAAGUAGCGUAAAACAGGAAAAUGUAUGCUAGUGAUUCUUGCAUCGGAAACCUUCCUGGUUUCCCCCAUAGUAAUGGUGUCAAUAAACCCGUCCACAUCUUUGCGAUGUGAUUCAUCUAAGGUACCCUCGAAGGGUAUUUUGCAAACCUCGCAAAAUUCAUCUAGUGGCAUCUUCUUAACAACAUCAUAUAAAUGAAACUCUACUGAGGGAGGUGAUUCCUUAGGAAAAUAGUAGAAGUUUUGCACAAAAGUAUUGGUGAGUAAGAGAUACUGAUGACGUUGGUCGCGGAGGAAGUUGGUGAGGCCAGCAUUCUCAGCCAAUGAAUAGAAAUCAUCAUAAAUCCCGGCUUUUCUCAAGAAAUCAUCGGAAGGCCAUUCACACGGCCGGACCUCCGCGGUGCGAGGCAAAUUAUAUUUGGGCCUCUGUGCUUCUUCAUUUUGCUUUUCCUUCGAGCUUCGGCUCGACGAGCCCCUCAAAAAUCUCUUCAUUAUUUUCUGAAAUAUUCUGAAAUUUUUAGUAACUUCAAACAAAAGUGAACCAACCUCGAUAAAAUUGAUAGCAACUACUCCUACAAGUGCCUAGAGCCUAUAUCAUGCAUUAGAACUACUUGAAACCAUAUAAAUUUGACAUGCAAGCUCAAGAACAUGGUCACCUAGGCAGCACAAAUUUGCAAUGAAUAAAGCACUAGAGCAAAAAUUGAUUGGACCAAUGGAGGAGUCACAUACCAAGGAACAAUCUCCCCAAGCAGUUUUGUGAGAGGUGCUUUGAGCAAGGAGAUCGAAAAUCGCAGCAAAAUGAGCUAGAACUCGUGCUUGAGUUGGAUAUUGGUGUUUGUGGGAGGAAGAAGGAGUGUAUGGGUGCAGGAAUAAGUGGAGGAGGGCCACCAUGGGCCCACGAGGCAGGGGCGCGCCCUGGGGGGUAGGGCGCGCCCUCCACCCUCAUGGCCAGGUGCUUCCCCCUCCUGCUGUGUUCUCAGUGCCAGAAAUUCUCAAAUAUUGUAGAAAAAAAUCAUAUUCCAUUUUCAGGGCAUUUGGAGAACUUUUAUUUUCGGGGUAUUUUUAUAUUGCACGGGUAAAUCAGGAAACAGACAGAAAAAUACUAUUUUUACUUUAUUUCAACUAAAUAACAGAAAGUAGAAAGAGGGUACAGAAGGUUGUGCCUUCUAGUUUCAUCCAUCUCAUGCUCAUCAAAAGGAAUCCACUAACAAGGUUGAUAAAGUCUUGUUAACAAACUCAUUCCGAAUAAUCAUGGAACCGGAGAAAUUUCGAAUAACACUAUGUUACCUCAACGGGGAUAUGCACAUCCCCAAUAAUAAGAAUAUCAUAUUUCUUCUUGACAGUAGGAAGAGGAAAUUCAAAACCUCCAAAUAUAAUCGAUGGAAUUUUUCCAAUAAAGUUGAUACUAUGAACUUGAGGUUGUUUCCUCGGAAAGUGUACCGUAUGCUCAUUAUCAUUAACAUGAAAAGUGACAUUGCCUUUGUUGCAAUCAAUAACAGCCCCUGCAGUAUUCAAAAAAGGUCUUCCAAGAAUAAUAGACAUGCUAUCUCAAGGAAAUAUGCCCUAGAGGCAAUAAUAAAGUUAUUAUUUAUUUCCUUAUAUCAUGAUAAAUGUUUAUUAUUCAUGCUAGAAUUGUAUUAACCGGAAACAUAAUACAUGUGUGAAUACAUAGACAAACAUAGUGUCACUAGUAUGCCUCUACUUGACUAGCUCGUUGAUCAAAGAUGGUUAUGUUUCCUAGCCAUAGACAUGAGUUGUCAUUUGAUUAACGGGAUCACAUCAUUAGGAGAAUGAUGUGAUUGACUUGACCCAUUCCGUUAGCUUAGCACACGAUCGUUUAGUAUUCUGCUAUUGCUUUCUUCAUGACUUAUACAUGUUCCUAUGACUAUGAGAUUAUGCAACUCCCGUUUACCAGAGGAACACUUUGUGUGCUACCAAACGUCACAACGUAACUGGGUGAUUAUAAAGGUGCUCUACAGGUGUCUCCGAAGGUACUUGUUGGGUUGGCGUAUUUCGAGAUUAGGAUUUGUCACUCCGAUUGUCGGAGAGGUAUCUCUGGGCCCACUCGGUAAUGCACAUCACUUAAGCCUUGCAAGCAUUGCAACUAAUGAGUUAGUUGCGGGAUGAUGUAUUACGGAACGAGUAAAUAGACUUGCCGGUAACGAGAUUGAACUAGGUAUUGAGAUACCGACGAUCGAAUCUCGGGCAAGUAACAUACCGAUGACAAAGGGAACAACGUAUGUUGUUAUGCGGUCUGACCGAUAAAGAUCUUCGUAGAAUAUGUGGGAGCCAAUAUGAGCAUCCAGGUUCCGCUAUUGGUUAUUGACCGGAGACGUGUCUCGGUCAUGUCUACAUAGUUCUCGAACCCGUAGGGUCCGCACGCUUAAAGUUCGAUGACGGUUAUAUUAUGAGUUUAUGUGUUUUGAUGUACCGAAGGUAGUUCGGAGUCCCGGAUGAGAUCGGGGACAUGACGAGGAGUCUCGAAAUGGCCGAGACGUAAAGAUCGAUAUAUUGGACGACUAUAUUCAGACUUCGGAAAGGUUCCGAGUGAUUCGGGUAUUUAUCGGAGUACCGGAGAGUUACGGGAAUUCGCCGGGGAGAAGUAUUGGGCCUUAUUGGGCCAUACGGGAAUAGAGGAGAGAGGCCAAAAGGAAGGAGGCGCGCACCCCCCCUCUGGUCCGAAUUGGACAAGGGGUGCAGCCCCCUUUUCCUUCUCCCUCUCCCCCUCUUUCCGUCUCUCCUACUCCAACAAGGAAAGGAGGAGUCCUACUCCCGAUGGGAGUAGGACUCCCCCCUUGGCGCGCCCUCCUCCUUGGCCGGCCGCCUCCCCCCUUGCUCCUUUAUAUACGGGGGCAGGGGGCACCCAAUAGACACAACAAUUGAUCGUUUGAUCUUUUAGCCGUGUGCGGUGCCCCCCUCCACCAUAGUCCACCUCGAUAAUACUGUAGCGGUGCUUAGGCGAAGCCCUGCGUCGGUAGAACAUCAUCAUCGUCACCACGCCGUCGUGCUGACGAAACUCUCCCUCAACACUCGGCUGGAUCGGAGUUCGAGGGACGUCUUCGGGCUGAACGUGUGCUGAACUCGGAGGUGCAGUGCGUUCGGUACUUGAUCGGUCGGAUCGUGAAGACGUACGACUACAUCAACCGCGUUGUGCUAACACUUCCGCUUUCGGUCUACGAGGGUACGUGGACAACACUCUCCCCUCUCGUUGCUAUGCAUCACCAUGAUUUUGCAUGUGCGUAGGAAUUUUUUUGAAAUUACUACGUUCCCCAACAGUGGCAUCCGAGCCUGGUUUUAUGCGUUGAUGUUAUAUGCAUGAGUAGAACACAAGUGAGUUGUGGGUGAUAUAAGUCAUACUGCUUACCAGCAUGUCAUACUUUGGUUCGGCGGUAUUGUUGGAUGAAGCGGCCGGACCGACAUUACGCGUACGCUUACGCGAGACUGGUUCUACCAAUGUGCUUUGCACAGAGGUGGCUGGCGGGUAUUAGUUUCUCCAACUUUAGUUGAACCGAGUGUGGCUACGCCCGGUCCUUGCGAAGGUUAAAACAACACCAACUUGACAAACUAUCAUUGUGGUUUUGAUGCGUAGGUGAGAACGGUUCUUGCAAAGCCCGUAGCAGCCACGUAAAACUUGUAACAACAAAGUAGAGGACGUCUAACUUGUUUUUGCAGGGUAUGUUGUGAUGUGAUAUGGUCAAGACAUGAUGCUAAAUUUUAUUGUAUGAGAUGAUCAUGUUUUCUAACCGAGUUAUCGGCAACUGGCAGGAGCCAUAUGGUUGUCGCUUUAUUGUAUGCAAUGCAAUCACCCUGUAAUGCUUUACUUUAUCACUAAGCGGUAGCGAUAGUCGUAGAAGCAUAAGAUUGGCGAGACGACAACGAUGCUAUGAUGGAGAUCAAGGUGUCGCGCCGGUGACGAUGGUGAUCAUGACGGUGCUUCGGAGAUGGAGUCACAAGCACAAGAUGAUGAUGGCCAUAUCAUAUCACUUAUAUUGAUUGCAUGUGAUGUUUAUCUUUUAUGCAUCUUAUCUUGCUUUGAUUGACGGUAGCAUUAUAAGAUGAUCCCUCACUAAAUUAUCAAAGUAUAAGUGUUCUCCCUGAGUAUGCACCGUUGCGAAAGUUCUUCGUGCUGAGACACCACGUGAUGAUCGGGUGUGAUAGGCUCUACGUUCAAAUACAACGGGUGCAAAACAGUUGCACACGCGGAAUACUCAGGUUAAACUUGACGAGCCUAGCAUAUAACAGAUAUGGCCUCGGAACACUGAGACCGAAAGGUCGAGUGAAUCAUAUAGUAGAUAUGAUCAACAUAGUGAUGUUCACCAUUGAAACUACUCCAUCUCACGUGAUGAUCGGACAUGGUUUAGUUGAUAUGGAUCACGUGAUCACUUAGAGGAUUAGAGGGAUGUCUAUCUAAGUGGGAGUUCUUAAGUAAUAUGAUUAAUUGAACUUAAAUUUAUCAUGAACUUAGUCCUGAUAGUAUUUUACAAAUUAUGUUAUAGAUCAAUAGCUCGCGUUGUUGCUUCCCUAUGUUUAUUUUGAUAUGUUCCUAGAGAAAAAUUGUGUUGAAAGAUGUUAGUAGCAAUGAUGCGGAUUGGAUCCGUGAUCUGAGGAUUAUCCUCAUUGCUGCACAGAAGAAUUAUGUCCUUGAUGCACCGCUAGGUGACAGACCUAUUGCAGGAGCAGAUGCAGACGUUAUGAACGUUUGGCUAGCUCAAUAUGAUGACUACUUGAUAGUUUAGUGCACCAUGCUUAACGGCUUAGAAUCGGGACUUCAAAGACGUUUUGAACGUCAUGGACCAUAUGAGAUGUUCCAGGAGUUGAAGUUAAUAUUUCAAGCAAAUACCCGAGUUGAGAGAUAUGAAGUCUCCAACAAGUUCUAUAGCUAAAAUAUGGAGGAGAAUAGCUCAAGCAGUAAGCAUGUGCUCAGAUUGUCUGGGUACUACAAUCGCUUGAAUCAAGUGGGAGUUAAUCUUCCAGAUAAGAUAGUGAUUGGCAGAAUUCUCUAGUCACCAUCACCAAGUUAGUAGAACUUCAUGAUGAACUAUAAUAUGCAAGGGAUAACGGAAAUAAUUCCCAAGCUCUUCGUGAUGCUGAAAUCGACGAAGGUAGAAAUCAAGAAAAACAUCAAGUGUUGAUGGUUGACGAGACCACUAGUUUCAAGAAAAACGGCAAAGGGAAGAAGGGGAACUUCAAGAAGAACGGCAAGCAAGUUGCUGCUCAAGUGAAGAAGCCCAAUUCUGGUCCUAAGCCUGAGACUAAGUGCUUCUACUGCAAAGGGACUGUUCACUGGAAGCGGAACUGCCCCAAGUAUUUGGCGGAUAAGAAGGAUGGCAAAGUGAACAAAGGUAUAUUUGAUAUACAGAUUAUUGAUGUGUAUUUUACUAGUGUUCGUAGCAACCCCUCGGUAUUUGAUACUGGUUCAGUUGCUAAAGAGUAGUAACUCGAAACGGGAGUUGCGGAAUGAACAGAGACUAGUUAAGGGUGAAGUGACGUUGUGUGUUGGAAGUGGUUCCAAGAUUGAUAUGAUCAUCAUCGCACGCUCCCUACACUUUCGGGAUUAGUGUUGAACCUAAAUAAGUGUUAUUUGGUGUUUGCGUUGAGCAUGAAUAUGAUUUGAUCAUGUUUAUUGCAAUACGGUUAUUCAUUUAAGUUAGAGAAUAAUUGUUGUUCUAUUUACAUGAAUAAAACCUUAUAUGGUUAUACACCCAAUGAAAAUGGUUCGUUGGAUCUCGAUCCUAGUGAUACACAUAUUCAUAAUAUUGAAGCCAAAAGAUGCAAAGUUAAUAAUGAUAGUGCAACUUAUUUGUGGCACUGCCGUUUAGGUCAUAUUGGUGUAAAGCGCAUGAAGAAACUCCAUGCUGAUGGGAUUUUGGAAUCACUUGAUUAUGAAUCACUUGAUGCUUGCGAACCAUGCCUUAUGGGCAAGAUGACUAAAGACUCCGUUCUCCGGAACAAUGGAGCGAGCAACUAACUUAUUGGAAAUAAUACAUACUGAUGAAUGUGAUCUGAUGAUUGUUGAGGCUCGCGGCGGGUAUCAUUAUUUUCUGACCUUCACAGAUGAUUUGAGCAGAUAUGGGUAUAUCUACUUGAUGAAACAUAAGUCUGAAACAUUUGAAAAGUUCAUAUAAUUUCAGAGUGAAGUGAAAAAUCAUCGUAACAAGAAAAUAAAGUUUCUACGAUCUGAUCGUGGAGGAGAAUAUUUGAGUUACGAGUUUGGUCUUCAUUUGAAACAAUGCGGAAUAGUUUCGCAACUCACGCCACCUGGAACACCACAGCGUAAUGGUGUGUCUGAACAUCGUAACCGUACUUUAUUAGAUAUGGUGCAAUCUAUGAUGUCUCUUACCGAUUUACCACUAUCGUUUUGGGGUUAUGCAUUAGAGACAGCUGCAUUCAUGUUAAAUAGGCACCAUCUAAGUCCGUUGAGACGACACAAUAUGAACUGUAGUUUGGCAAGAAACCAAAGUUGUCGUUUCUUAAAGUUUGGGGUUGCGGUGCUUAUGUGAAAAAGUUUCAUCCUGAUAAGCUUAAACCCAAAUCGGAAAAGUGCGUCUUCAUAGGAUACCCAAAGGAGAUAGUUGGGUACACCUUCUAUCACAGAUCUGAAAGGCAAGAUAUUCGUUGCUUAUAAUGGAUCCUUUCUAGAGAAGGAGUUUCUCUCGAAAGAAGUGAGUGGGAGGAAAGUAGAACUUGAUGAGGUAACUGUACCUACUCCCUUAUUGGAAAGUAGUUCAUCAGAGAAAUCUGUUCCUGUGACUACUACACCAAUUAGUGAGGAAGCUAAUGAUGAUGAUCAUGUAACUUCAGAUCAAGUUACUACCGAACCUCGUAGGUAAACCAGAGUGAGAUCCGCACCAGAGUGGUACGGUAAUCAUGUACUGGAUGUCAUGUUACUAGACCAUGAUAAACCUACGAACUAUGAGGAAGCGAUGAUGAGCCCAAAUUCCGCGAAAUGGCUUAAGGCCAUGAAAUCUGAGAUGAGAUCCAUGUAUGAGAACAAAGUAUGGACUUUGACUGACUUGCCCAAUGAUCGGUGAGCCAUUGAGAUUAAAUGGAUCUUCAAGAGGAAGACGGACGCUGAUAGUAGUGUUACUAUCUACAAAGCUAGAAUUGUCGCAAAAAGGUUUUCGACAAGUUCAAGGUGUUGACUACAAUGAGAGUUUCUCACUCGUAUCUAUGCUUAAGUUUGUCCGAAUCAUGUUAGCAACUGCCGCAUUUUAUGAAAUCUGGAAAAUGGAUAAACAAAAAUGCAUUCCUUAAUGGAUUUAUUAAAGAAGAGUUGUAUAUGAUGCAACCAGAAGGUUUUGUCAAUCCUAAAGGUGCUAACAAAAUAUGCAAGCUCCAGCGAUCCAUCUAUGGACUGGUGCAAGCAUCUCGGAGUUGGAAUAUACGCUUUGAUAAGUUGAUCAAAGGAUAUAGUUUUAUACAGACUUGCGGUGAAGCCUGUAUUUACAAGAAAGUGAGUGGGAGCACUACAACAUUUCUGAUAAGUAUAUGUGAAUGACAUAUUGUUGAUCGGAAAUAAUGUAGAAUUAUUCUGCAAAGCAUAAAGGAGUGUUUGAAAGGAGUUUUUCAAAGAAAGACCUCGGUGAAGUUGCUUACAUAUUGAGCAUCAAUAUCUAUAGAGAUAGAUCAAGACGCUUGAUAAGUUUUUCAAAGAGUACAUACCUUGGCAAGAUUUUGAAGUAGUUCAAAAUGGAACAGUCAAAGAAAGAGUUCUUGCCUGUGUUGCAAGGUGUGAAAUUGAGUAAGACUCAAAGCCCGACCACGGCAGAAGAUAGAAAGAGAAUGAAAGUCAUUCCCUAUGCCUUGGCCAUAGGUUCUAUAAAGUAUGCCAUGUUGUGUACCAAAUCUAUUGUAUACCCUACACUGAUUUUGGCAAGGGAGUAAAUAGUGAUCUAGGAGUAGAUCACUGGACAGCGGUCAAAAUUAUCCUUAGUGGAAUAAGGAUAUGUUUCUCGAUUAUGGAGGUGACAAAAAGGGUUCGUCGUAAAGGGUUACGUCGAUGCAAAUUUUGACACUGAUCCAGAUGACUCUAAGUCUCAAUCUGGAUACAUAUUGAAAGUGGGAGCAAUUAGCUAGAGUAGCUCCGUGCAGAGCAUUGUAGACUAGACAUAGAAAUUUGCAAAAUACUUACGGAUCUGAAUGUGACAGACCCGUUGACUAAAAUUAUCUUACAAGCAAAACAUGAUCACACCUUAGUACUCUUUGGGUGUUAAUCACAUAGCGAUGUGAACUAGAUUAUUGACUCUAGUAAACCCUUUGGGUGUUGGUCACAUGACGAUGUGAACUAUGGGUGUUAAUCACAUGGUGACGUGAACUAUUGAUGUUAAAUCACAUGGCGAUGUGAUCUAGAUUAUUGACUCUAGUGCAAAUGGGAGACUGAAGGAAAUAUGCCCUAGAGGCAAUAAUAAAGUUAUUAUUUAUUUCCUUAUAUCAUUGAUAAAUGUUUAUUAUUCAUGCUAGAAUUGUAUUAACCGGAAACAUAAUACAUGUGUGAAUACAUAGACAAACAUAGUGUCACUAGUAUGCAUCUACUUGACUAGCUCGUUGAUCAAAGAUGGUUAUGUUUCCUAGCCAUAGACAUGAGUUGUCAUUUGAUUAACGGGAUCACAUCAUUAGGAGAAUGAUGUGAUUGACUUGACCCAUUCCUUUAGCUUAGCACACGAUCGUUUAGUAUUCUGCUAUUGCUUUCUUCAUGACUUAUACAUGUUCCUAUGACUAUGAGAUUAUGCAACUCCCGUUUACCAGAGGAACACUUUGUGUGCUACCAAACGUCACAACGUAAUUGGGUGAUUAUAAAGGUGCUCUACAGGUGUCUCCGAAGGUACUUGUUGGGUUGGCGUAUUUCGAGAUUAGGAUUUGUCACUCCAAUUGUCGGAGAGGUAUCUCUGGGCCCACUCGGUAAUGCACAUCACUUAAGCCUUGCAAGCAUUGCAACUAAUGAGUUAGUUGCGAGAUGAUGUAUUACGGAACGAGUAAAGAGACUUGACGGUAACGAGAUUGAACUAGGUAUUGAGAUACCGACAAUCGAAUCUCGGGCAAGUAACAUACCGAUGACAAAGGGAACAACGUAUGUUGUUAUGCGGUCUGACCGAUAAAGAUCUUCGUAGAAUAUGUGGGAGCCAAUAUGAGCAUCCAGGUUCUGCUAUUGGUUAUUGACCGGAGACGUGUCUCGGUCAUGUCUACAUAGUUCUCGAACCCGUAGGGUCCGCACGCUUAAAGUUCGAUGACGGUUAUAUUACGAGUUUAUGUGUUUUGAUGUACCGAAGGUAGUUCGGAGUUUCGGAUGAGAUCGGGGACAUGACGAGGAGUCUCGAAAUGGCCGAGACGUAAAGAUCGAUAUAUUGGACGACUAUAUUCGGACUUCGGAAAGGUUCCGAGUGAUUCGGGUAUUUAUCGGAGUACCGGAGAGUUACGGGAAUUCGGGGAGAAGUAUUGGGCCUUAUUGGGCCAUACGGGAAUAGAGGAGAGAGGCCAAAAGGAAGGAGGCGCGCACCCCCCUCUGGUCCGAAUUGGACAAGGGGUGCAGCCCCCUUUUCCUUCUCCCUCACCCCCUCUUUCCUUCUCUCCUACUCCAACAAGGAAAGGAGCCCCCCUGGCGCGCCCUCCUCCUUGGCUGGCCGCCUCCCCCCUUGCUCCUUUAUAUACGGGGGCAGGGGGCACCCCAUAGACACAACAAUUGAUCGUUUGAUCUUUUAGCCGUGUGCGGUGCCCCCCUCCACCAUAGUCCACCUCGAUAAUACUGUAGCAGUGCUUAGGCGAAGCCCUGCGUCGGUAGAACAUCAUCAUCGUCACCACGUUGUCGUGCUGACGAAACUCUCCCUCAACACUCGGCUGGAUCGGAGUUCGAGGGACGUCAUCGGGCUGAACGUGUGCUGAACUCGGAGGUGCCAUGCGUUCGGUACUUGAUCGGUCGGAUCGUGAAUACGUACGACUACAUCAACCGCGUUGUGCUAACGCUUCCGCUUUCGGUCUACGAGGGUACGUGGACAACACUCUCCCCUCUCGUUGCUAUGCAUCACCAUGAUCUUGCGUGUGCGUAGGAAUUUUUUUGAAAUUACUACGUUCCCCAACACUAUCGUCCUAGGGAAUAUCAAGAAUAACAAAGUCCGUUAAAAUAGUAACGUUUGCAACCACAACAGGAACAUCCUCACAAAUACCGACAGGUAUAGCAGUUGAUUUAUCAUCCAUUUGCAAAGAUAUUUCAGUAGGUGUCAACUUAUUCAAGUCAAGUCUACGAUAUAAAGAGAGAGGCAUAACACUAACACCGGCUCCAAGAUCACAUAAAGCAGUUUUAACAUAAUUUCUUUUAAUGGAGCAUGGUAUAGUAGGUACUCCUGGAUCUCCAAGUUUCUUUGGUAUUCCACCUUUAAAAGUAUAAUUAGCAAGCAUGGUGGAAAUUUCAGCUUCCGGUAUCUUUCUUUUAUUAGUAACAAUAUCUUUCAUAUACUUAGCGUAAGGAUUCAUUUUGAGCAUAUCAGUUAAUCGCAUACGCAAAAAGAUAGGUCUAAUCAUUUCAGCAAAGCGCUCAAAAUCCUCAUCAUCCAUUUUCUUGGAUGGUUUGAGAGGAAAAGGCAUGGGUUUCUGAACCCAAGGUUCUCUUUCUUUACCGUGUUUCCUAGCAACAAAGUCUCUCUUAUCAUAACGUUGAUUCUUUGAUUGUGGGUUAUCAAGAUCAACAGCAGGUUCAAUUUCUACAUCAUUAUCAUUACUAGGUUGAGCAUCAUCAUGAACAUCUUCAUUAAAAUUUUCACUAGGUUCAUGUUCAUUACCAGAUUGUGUUUCAGCAUCAGAAAUAGAAAUAGCAUUUGGAUUCUCAGGUGAUUCAGCAAUAGGUUCACUAGGAGCAUGCAAAGUCUUAUCAUUUUUCUUUUUCUUCUUUUUAGAAGAACUAGGUGCAUCAAUAUUAUUUCUCUGAGAAUCUUGCUCAAUUCUCUUAGGGUGGCCUUCAGGAUACAAAGGUUCCCGAGUCAUCUUACCAGUUCCAGUAGCCACUCUACAGCAUAAUCAUUUUUCUUACUAUUCAUUUCAUUGAGCAAAUCAUUUUGAGCUUUAAGCACUUGUUCUACUUGAGUGGUAACCAUAGACACAUGUUUAGUAAUGAGUUUAAGUUCACCUCUAACAUCAGCCAUGUAACUACCCAAGUGUUCAAUCAUAUAAGCAUUUUGUUUUAACUGAUUAAAGCUGUUAAAAAGCACUUCAUAGCUGAGCAUCUGUUCAGUGAUCAGCAUCAAGAUGGUCCACUUUUCAGCUGGCACCAACGCCAUUCAUAUGUGGACAGCAGUUUUGUGGAAAGGGAGAAGGAGACUGAAGCAAAUAACUCUGCCGUAGCCAGAUCAAGUUCUGGAUAGACAAUUGUAGGCACUGUGAGUUACAACCAAGUAAUUUUGUAGUUUGUUAGAUCCAAUGAAUCCACAUCGUUAACUUAUGAAACAAAAAUGUAGAACUUUCUCCUCCCCUCAAUUUACCAAAUAGCUAAAAAAACAAGAUUGACCUAAUUUUAUGUUUGUUGCAGAUUGAAAAGGAUCCAUUGGCUUGUAUUGGCUCUCCAGACAUCAACAAGCUCUCGGUGGACAAAAGCACCAUUCUGACGAGACAACAGCUGCAAGCCCACAGAAGUUAAUUACCAGCAUCGUCCUAGGCAUGCUGAGAAAACUAUGCUAUAAAUUCUUAAGGAUCAGAAGAAGCGGCAUUUUAUAUGGCAACUUGAACGUGAUUUCUGCUCUUAUAUUCCAUAGGUUCCCGUGUUCUUAGAGUCAUUGGGAAAUGGGCACUAGAAGUCUUAUUGCCUAAUGUGUCUCCUUGGUUGUUGGACCUUCCUAAAUUGAAUAUGCAGAUACCACAAUGUACUUGUUGGACAACGCUAACGCCCACACGUGUGGUGGAAGCUAAACCUGCCCACACGCACUAUAACACACAGAGUACGCCAUGUCACCGCAUGGAUGCAUGUGGAAAUCUUUUUGGAUUUUCAGUUUUUAAAAUGUUUUAUCUCUUAAAUGAAAAAUCCGAUUAAAGAUCCGUUUUCACAAUUAAAUCCCUCGCGACGAGAUCUUCGAAACUAGAUCUCAUAUCAAUAUAUUUCGACAAAUUUUUUUUGGUUAAAAGUUGCCAUGUCUAUUGCACAUGAAUUGCCAUGAUGUUUACACUAAAAUUGCCAUGAUAUGUUUCAGCUAUUUUCUUCUACAUUUAAAAGUAAUUUUGACAUAUUAUAAAAUGGGGAAUUAAGAAACUAGACUUGCCAUGCACCAUAAACUAAAAUUGCCAUGGUUCAUACAAAAAAAUAUUUUCAUGCUCAAAGUACUGGAAUUGCCAUCAUCAAAAACUAAAAUUGCCAUGAUCUACAAACUAAAAUUGCCACAUGGCAACUUUAGUUUAAGCACUAUGGCAACCACAGUGUAAACAUCAUGGCAACUUUUGGGCAAAAAAAUUCGUCAAAACAUAUCAACAUGGGGUCUAGUCUUGAAGAUCUCGUCGAGACGGAUUUAAUGGUGAAAACGGAUUUUUAAUUCGCUUUUUAAAUUAGGAGAUAAAGCAUUUUUAAACCGAAAACCAAAAAGAUUUAUGCUGAUGUCAUCUAUUCAUACGUGGCAAAAUGAUUGGUGAUGGAGGCGUGUGGGCGGUGUGCAAAUGCCCACACGUGUGGGCGUUAGUUUUUCCGUUUCUUAAUGCAUUCUCUUGAAUUUAGUAAGUAUCCUAAAUUUAACAUAGAGGCUUAUAUUCCUAGAAAACUCGAAGAUGCUUGGGAACCAAUAAUUAAAAUUUGCAUAGGUCCAUACUAUUGUAAUGUUUUAUGUGAUUUGGGUGCUAGUAUUUCUACUAUGCCUAAAAUACUUUUUUAUAUGCUUGAUCUUCGAAAUAUGGAACCUAGCAAUUUGACCAUUGACCUUAUCGAUUCAUCUAGUAAGAAAUCUCUAGGAAGAAAAGAUGAUCGAUGCUAAGGUUGAAGUGCAACUGAAUAUUAUUCCCACUGAUUUUAUUAUACUUGAUAUGAAGUGUGAUUUUACUUGACCUAUUAUUUUGGGUAGACCUUUUCUAAGAACUGUAGUGCCACGUUUUUCUCCCCUAACCUAGGCGGUUAGGAUAAACUCUCCCCUCUAGACUUCAACGGCGAGCCCAUGGACUCGCCUCCCCUCUGCCUGCCGCUCUGUCAAUCAAUGGCGGGAGGGGAAUUCCGGUGCCUCCAUUGCGGUUAGUAGUUUAGGUCGGGUUUUUUUAGUCCUCGCGGGUGCGGCGCUCAGGCAGAUGGCGACGCUUCUUCUUUGAGUUUGUCUUCCAGGCUCCGAUCUUCCUCGAGUUCGUCCAUCUAGACGUAAUCGACUGAGCUCCGGCAUAGAUUCCUGCUGUCUACUUGGGGCGUGAAGUUAGGGUUUCUCGUUAUAUGGUGAGAUUUGGUGUUAGGUGCUUCAAAUCUAUGCAAGGAUUCAACGGUGACGACUGCAGCUCCAGGGCACUGGUCCUUAGGGGCACGUGCACGAAGACUUUCUGGCUGUCAUCGACAAGGUCAAGCUGGCUCCGGUAGGGGAGCAGCGGCAGCGCGCGCGUCGGCGGCUCGUUCUUGCGGCAGUAGUGGUCGUUUGGUAGUCUUGGAAUAUGGAUGUAAUUUUUAUUAUGUUUGAGAUGCUAGGUACUUCCGGUGAACUUUUAUAAUAGAUCGGAUCAUUUUUUUCUCGAAUAUGCACGAGUGUGCAUAUCAUAUAUUAAAGAAGGAAAGGCAUAGAAAGCCUCCACCAGUCAAUUACAAGUGUGGUGAUUACUCACACAUAUGGACACCACCACUCCACCUAGUACACAUUAUACUACUCUUCCCCACUAAUCCACCUCGCUAAACCCGCAAGCACGAAGUCAACAUUGCCUUUCAUAAGUCCCGAACGCGCCCAAGUCCUUCCUUCCGCCUCUAUUCUUCGCAUGAGCUGGUGGAUCGAUGGCAACUCGCCGUCAAACACCACAGCGUUCCGAUGCUUCCACAACUCCCACAGUGCCAGUAGUAAAACAACAUGCAGGUCUUUUUUGACCACCGUAUUCAACCGUUGCUUCGUACAGAGCCAAGAUUGUAGUGUAUCCUGCGGGGUUGGCGUCCACUCAGGCUUCCCCAACGCAGUGCAGACCGCCGCCCAGAUUGUCCUGGCGAAGACACAGGUUAGCAGCACAUGGUCUAUUGUCUCCUCCUCUUGGUCACAAAGUGGGCACUUGUCCUGAUGUGGCAACCCCCUUCUAGCAAGCCGGUCGAACGUCCAACAUCUGUUGCGCAAAGCCAGCCACGUAAAGAAUUUGCAUUGUGACGGAGCUCGUGAUUUCCACGUUAACUCCGCAGUCGGAAUCACCUCCCGGCCCCCAAACUUGGCAGCGUACGCUGAUCGCACUGAGUAUUGCCCAUUUGCUUCCCAGGACCAAGUGAAAACAUCCGGGCCAGUCUCUGUGGGUUCCCAUGCCUGCACUCUGUGCCAAAGCUCCAAAUACUCUUGCAGUGCAUGCGUGCCAAGAUCAGGAUUAAUGCAAUCAGCCCAAGAGCCAUUCGUCACCACCUGACCGAGCCGGCUCGUCCUCCUAACACGGCUCGGAACCAUGGUGUAGAUGACCGGUGCAACUUCCUGAAUCCUCCGUCCGUCAAGCCACCUAUCCUCUCAGAAGAGCGUGUCCAAGCCAUCAUGCGGCGUGCACCUUGUUGCCGCUUGAAAGAUUCGCAUCGAGUCAUCAGACACUUUGAUUUGGAACUCACUCCAUGGUCUAUCCUUGUCCGUCCUUUGCAGCCACGGCCAUCUGGCUUGCAUUGCCACAUUCAUCCAUCUCAGGUUGGGCAGCCCUAGGCCUCCUGCCCAUUUGGGGGCACACACCGCAUCUCAGAUCGGAUCAUUUUCGCGCAAAAAAAAGAGCAGCCUAAUUCACAUGAAGGAAGGAACUUACAAAUUCAAGUUGCCACAAAAUCAAGCUUAUGGCCACUUCCCUAAAAAGAAGUCCAAGCGUACAAGUGGGAAAGGUCAAUUUAAGUGACCUUUUAUAAGCUUUCAACAAUGAAUAGAGGUAACAAAGCCUUGAUUUAGGCUUUAAACAAAAGCACUUGUAAUAUAGUUUAUCUUUGUGCAGUUUACUUUUAGUACAAUAAGAUGCCAUGCUUAGUCUUCAUUAUGGUUUUAGGGGAAUUUUCUGAAAUUGACUAGGUAUAAUUUCAUAUCUUGUCUGUUCGGAACGGCCCCACGCCAAGCCCUGGUUGCUCCCCUGCGUGUCAUUCUUUUUGCAUUGUGUUCUAUUUAGCACCCUAUUACUGUCCUGAUUUUUUAUAUCUACUUCUGGCAAUAAUUUUCUGCGUGAGCAAUUAUUUCAAUUUCUAGUGCUUCAAGCUUAAUGUUUUGAUUGAAUUUUCAUAUGAGAUAGAUUGUCUUUUCCCAUGAUUAACUGGUCAAGCCCUUUUUAGUACUGGUGGAUGGUGGUACAUUGUUGCUGUUGUUACAGCAAACAACCAACAUAUCAAAAUCCUAAGAACACAGGGUGUACCACUGAAACGUUCGCUUAGGUUCGGCGAAGAAGGGCCACUAUUAGCCGCUACAAUUCUGAUGCUAGACGCUAUGGGGUCAAAAUUCCUGGAAUUGCGCUGCUAGACAGACGGGUUAGCGGUUCGUCUUCGGGGCUUGAUGUUCGUCGUCAGUCAUCAUAUACUUCCUCCUCCUCGGGUUGCGACGACGACUGCCCGAAAGCUAGCAUGGCCAUAUGCCUGGUUCCUUCUGGUAUCAUGGCUCGGACUACCUGCAAGUGUACCAAGCGCAGUUGUAAGGAAAAUGAUGUGACGCUAGCGAAACGAUAAGGCCAAUUGUUCAUUAGAUAAUCUUUCUUUUUUGCAUCUAGUACUUUUUUCGUUUAAAUGGCUAAUCAAUAUAGCAGGCAUGUCCAAAUGUCUGAGUCACAUGGUGACGGCUUCGUAUAUGACUUGGGAGCACGUAAAUAAUACGGUAUGAAAUGUUUCAGAUCAGGUAGUGGUGAGGUAAAUACUCGCAGUUGUUCUAGCAAACAAAUGUCUAAACAGCGCAGGUGUACAAUCAAACAAACCUUUUCUAUCUCAUCGCAGACGGUUGGAUUCUCUCGGAGAUACUGCAGUGCCUUUUCUCUACCUUGACCCAGUCUGCACACAAAAAGAGGAACACAUGAAAGCUGCAAAUUUAUAGUUUAUCAAAACAAAAAUGAAAUAUACUCAUUGUUAUUUUAAUUUGAAUGAAGUUACAUAAUAACAUUAACUACGAUUAUGCCCCUGUUUGGAAUAUGCAAAUCCAACAACAGAUUUCCGAAGCAGUAUAUAGAAACAAUCAUAAAAUAUUAAAACACAAGAAAAUUAUGUGAGACCACCUUGGAGUUUUCUGGCUAGUUUCCUGUAUGGAUAUAUGUAGCAGACGUUCAUAUCCUCAUAAUCCUCAAAUUUAAGCAAAUGAACAUGAAGUAGAAUUCAGACAGUAUAGGCUACAUAAAGUUACUGCAGUUCCACAAAAAGAGGAACAGGAAUUCAGUACAUAUGAUAUGAUAUGAUGGUUCUACAGAAUCAAAGGGCACAUAUAGCCAGCCAAAACACAUUUAGUUCACAUGGUAAUAGGACUGGGGAGAAUGGCAUGACAGGAUAGCUGCUAGAAGGUUGUGUUUUGCUAAUACAUUCACAAGCCGUAAUGAAUUUCUUCUAAAGCUACCGGCAUACCUUAUAUCUUUGUAACUAUACCAUGAACCCUUCUUUGCAACAACUUCCAUCAGCUCAGCACAAUCAAGAAUGCAACCCUGUAUGAAUUCUCUCUUUAGCAAAAGAUCUAGUGAGAUCCAAUGAGAAUAGCUGAAAACUUUGUACACCAACCAAUUUACUAACGCCCUCCCCAAACAUGAUCUCGAAUUCAGCUUGCUUGUAGGGCCUGGAGACCUUGCAAAGAACAAAAGAAAAGACAAUCAUGCCCAAUGUACAAAGUGUGGAGCAAAAUACAAAACAAGAAGUAGACUUCUUCACGACAUACUUUACUCUUCUGCACUCUGACACGGACCUUGACACCAAUAUCUUCAUCUCCCUUGGCCUUGGCAAAAUAAGAUGAACUUUCUCAAGUCAUGUCUUACGGAAGGUGAAAUAUUUUGUCUAUCUUACAGAUUUUAUCUUCCCAAUGUGUCGUAUCUCUAGGCGAACUGACGCGAAGAACUUCAAAGCUAUCCCUCCACUAGUGACUUCAGGGUUCCCAUAGAAUACUCCAAUCUAGAAAAAACGAAAUUAAUUAGAUGACAGAAUAAGAUGGAAAUGAACAGUCAGGUGAGAGCUAAUGUAGAACACCUUGUAUCUUAUUUGAUUCAAGAACAUUAGAGUACAACCAGCCUUUGAGGCAUUGCCUGACAUCUUUCUCAAUGCUUGACUCAUCAGACGAGCUUGUAAACCCAUCUGCUGCAUCCCUAUCUCACCCUAGCAAAUAACUGAAUCAUAUUUUUCAUGCAUCAUAUUGAAUAUAAAUCUAUGCUAAAAACAAAAAGGAAAGAGAAUCAUACUUCAAUUUCCGCACGUGGAGUGAGAGCUGAUACUGAAUCAAUACAGAUGAGAUCUAUUGCUCCAGAUCUGCACAUGCGGUCCGCAACUGGUAGAGAAAGAGACAUAUUAGUCAAAUCACGAAAACAGAAGUCUAACAACCACUAGGCUGUGUUUGGCAUCACGGGUGGAUUCUGAUAAUCCGGUUUGCACACAAUAACUAACCCUUCAACCGUAGCAGGUGCUUGAAAUAGUAUAUGUACCAAAAUAAAAAUAGAUAUGUAUGCACACAUUAAAGUUACAAUCCAAGAAUUUCUGGUCAUCAAAUCAAAAUACGUCUAUGAAUAAUAGUUAACUUCAGAAGGGCUAAGUUAUUUUUUUGGCAAAAGAUGCUAAAAAUAUAUUAGAUGCCACAAAUGCCAGGAAAAUUAUAAAGCUGCAGUGUCAUUAAUUAUUGUUACAUGUCAAUCAGAUGGUAAAAGAUAAAAUGUCACGCAAAAGGUCCUCUACUGUAAGAGAAACUUUGUGUGCGAAAAAUACAAAAUAGUCACUAGCAUGCGAAAAAUCCAAGUUAGUCACUACUCACUAUGUAACCCUGUUUACAGGUACAACAAUAUUACAACAGAUGCAAGUAAGAUUAUUCAAACAAAAGGUACUGAGCCCUCAUAAGCAGUAGAGAAUGUAUUACUUUCUAGUGCCAUCUCUCCAUUGUCAGGCUGGCAGACAAUCAGAUUUUCAAUAUCUACCCCAAGCGCUUUUGAAUAAGCUGGAUCAAAAGCAUGCUCUGCAUCAACAAGCAUGGCAUUUCCUCCUAGCUUCUGCAUAUAGGAUGUUGGGGGUUUGAAGUAUCGUUAAGUUCUAUGGGGAUCAUGAAAUAUACAAUGGCGUCUAAUAUAGGAAGAAAAAAACCUGUAUCUCAGCAAUGGCAUGCAGAGCUAGAGUGGUCUUUCCACUGCUUUCAGGACCAUACACCUUCAAUUUAUUGUAAAGUUGCAAAAAUCAGAGCAAAUGGUGAUCCGAAGGUGCCACGAUGAAAGAAGAAUAAACUAUAGUAAGUUACCUCUACUACUCUUCCUUUUGGAAGGCCACCGCCCAAAGCAAAAUCUAGUGUUAAGCAACCACUCGGAAAAGUCUCACUGGAUAGACAAGGUAACAGUAAGUAUGAAUAGCAUGCAUGGAACUUAUAAGGGGAUUUUGAUAUAUUUAAGCAAUUAAGAACAUACACAAAAGCACCACCAGCACUGCCUAAUCUUGUAACGCUUCCUUUUCCAAAAGAAUUGUUUAUGUCAGUCAUUGCUGCAUCAAGAGCUUUUUGCUGUAGAUGGAAUUGUAAAGAGUAUGUCAUUUGUCUUAAUAAGAAGCAAUAAUUAACUACAGUAUUUAUCUGCUAUCAACUUGGGAAAAAAUAGCAUAGCUAUUUCACAAAGAAUGCCACAGCCUUGUACGGAAAAAAUUGACAUGCCUAUAUAAAGUCGAGACAGGAUGCCUCUCUUAGGGCAACAUCUAUACUGAGAAUAAUACAUCUGAAGUUCAGUAUAUAGAACUAAAGCAUCGUUUACAGUUUUGUCCCCCGUAAAUUGCGCAGCAGAGGGUUGUCUUUUCAAGUUCAUUGUCAUUAUUCUUGUCCAAGUCAAACUUAGCAUAACCACAGCAGCCAAUAAGAGAGAGCAGUAAGAAUGUAAGAUGGCAAGCAAAUGCUAAACUAUAAGACAAUAGUUUCCUGAAGUAUCGGAAGUACACUCCGGUCACUGCAAUGCCACUAUGCACCCUAGGUAUUCGACACAAUGCACAGCCCAAGAAAAGCAAUAUAAGCAGCAGCAGCGACAACCUAUGUCGUAGAAAAGGCAGCAAUUUUUCUUGCUUCAAAGUUCCACCUCACCGCGGCGCCACACUCCAGGUUCUCAGCGCCAGGGGAACGCACCGCGCCUUACCCGGACCGUACAUCACUUGUUCGGCCGAAUGGCCGGAAGAAACGAAAAAUGGACGGGAAAGAACAAGAAACAAGGAACGGGGAAGCUUCUUACGCGGUCUAUCAGUCGAGGGUCGUCCUCGCCGGAGAGCGCGCCGUUCCCGACGCUGGCAACGAACUCACAGCGCAGCCGGCGGUUGCCGCGUCCGGAGGCGCUGCUCGCUGAGGCGCACGGCGCGGGGACCCUCCUGCGGGGACGGGGCAGGAUGGCCGGGGUGAAACGUGCGGCGGCGGCGGCGGCGGCGGCUGUGGCCAUUGGCUGCGUGGCGGCUGAGGUCCACGGGGCCGCGUGCUCGAUUUGUAGGGGUGGAGUGAAGGGGGAGAAGUCCUUCAAGAAGCUCGGACAGGGAGGGUUUAGCGUGGCGGAUCGAUCGCGUCUAGAUUCGUGCAGCGACACAGUGGGUUUAGGUCUUUUGGCUCAUGGUAGGAUAUAGGAAUGUCCUAAGAAUAGGAAAGCUGUAGAAAAUGAAACGGCAUGUAUCUUAAAUUUUAUGAACAUAAAAAGGAGAUGUCAUUUUUUUUAGGAUAAAAAGGAGAUGUCAUUUGGUUCAUAUGAUAGGAUAUUUUUUUCCGUCGAGUCCAAGAUAGUGUUCCUUUUUAAUCCUUUGAAAUAUGAAGGAUAGAAGUCAAUCCUGUAUGGAAAUGUGAUUCUAUUCCUAUAUAAAUCAAAGGACUAAAGGAAUAUUUUCUACGAAAAUCCUAUCAUACAGAAUUCUUACAAAAUUAUGUAAACCAAAGGAGGCCUUAGUUUUUUCCGAGGAAACAUCUGAUCUAUUCAUCUUCAAUCAUAGCAGUACAAAUCAGAAAUAAUAAAAAUUACAUCCAGAUUCGUAGUCCACCUAGCGACGACUACAAGCACUGAAGCGAGCCGAAGACGCGCCACCAUCAUCGCCCCUUCCUCACUGGAUUCGGCAAAACUUGUUCGUCGAAUAAGAUUAGCGCGUCUUCGGCAAAACUUGUUAUAGUAGACAGUCGGGAAGUAAUCGUGAUAAGGCCCCAUAAGAUCAGUGCGCCAGAACAACAAUCGUCGCCGAUGAGAAGUAGCAUAGAUCAGAAGGAUUCAACCUGAAGACACAUGAAUAUAGACGGACGACGGACAUAUCCGAGCAGAUCCACAAAAGAUAAAUUCACCAGAGACACACCUCCACACGCCCACCGACGAUGCUAGACGCGCCAUCGGAAUGGGGGCUAGGCGGGGAGCACCUUAUUCCAUCUUCAAGAAGCCGCCGCCAUCUCGCCUUCUUUAGCAGGAUAUAUACCCUAAGAAAACUCGAAGUAACAUCUAAAAAAGUCUUGUGUUCUUGUGUUCUUUGUGCAAACAUCUCAGUGGCGGAUACACCAUUGCGAAAAAAAGUUUCAUGCUCUAUUCCCAAAGUGGCCAGUCGUCUUGGUCAGCGGUCCACGCCAAAGAGCUUAUAGUGCUUUGGUCUCGUCGACUGAUGACCGUCAAUCUUCACAUGCUGAAGGGGAGGGUGUAGGGCCCUUUCACAGUGAAGAUAGGGUCAAUCAGUUAGGUGUGUGUUUUGGUUAGUGAUUCUCUUGUUUUGAUAUUUUGUGCCCCAUGUAUUCUCUACCGACAGUGGGAUGACGAAGUAGUGUUCGAUAGUUUUCAUUGCAAAAGAUUUGUCUUUGACAACACUACCUCGAGUGAUCUUAAUGGACGCGGCUCGUCUGCAGUGCCUUCACGCACGGCAGAACUGCCGUACGGGCCAAAAUCAACCAUUCAUUCACUUUUCAUCCCAUUCAACGGACUGCUGCUACUCACCAACAAACGAACAGAAGGGUCCAACGAACUUGCUUGUUUCUCUAUACUCUGAAUCUUCUCGCGCCAAAAAUUAGAGAGAGGCCUACUGCAUGGAUCAUAAAAGUAGCGGACCGUCGAGCCGCUGUGCCCUCGUUGCUAUUGAGCUGCAUCAGUUUCGUCGCCGUCAAGCUGCCGCCGCCGUCGUCGCCGCCACGUUACGUCCAACGGAGCCACCUCCGCGUCGUCACCGUCGAGCUGCAGCCGCUGCGUUACCGUCAAGCCACUGUCGCUGCCAUGUUGGUUGAGAUGCCGCAGUUGCAUCGCAUCCCAUCCUCUAUCUGGUCCUCUGAAGUCUAAAGUGCCCCAAGUUUGCUAGUGGUCUCUAGGUACAGCCAUGCCAAGCACCAAAAAUUGCAGGUACAGCCGUGCCAAGCACAAUCCGAAUAUAGCAGUUUUCAGUUUUCUCAAGGAAACUGAAGUGCACUCUAUUAACAGAGUACUGAAAUUAGUGUACGCUGGGCAUAAAUAAAUAACUUAAAAAUAGAACUGUAAUAUUUAUACUGCAUCUCACUCACGUAUUCAGACUACCUUUGGCCUGGUAAUCUCCCUCGUUUGUGUUUUUCAUUGGACUGUACAAGGAAGAAUAUCGGAUCAGUUUUGAAAAGUGGAUUAGGGGAUCGAUGAUGAUGUUUGGUUUUUACCUAUGAAGAUCAAACGUGACUCCUUGUCUUAGAUCGCAACGUGUACGUGCAGUUUGAAUUCGACGCGGCGGCGGCGGCUGCUCGAACGGGCGAUGCGGCGGCAGCGGCAGCAGCUUAACAGGAACUUGGUUCUACGCGGCGAUGAGCAGCUCACCUUGGUACACGGCGCGGCAAUUUUUGGCACGAGAAGGCCAGACGGCAGACGUGAUUUUGGCGCCUAGUUUAUUAGCAGCUCUCGCUCGGUAGCAGAAGACCGUUGGAUGGGAUGGAAAGUGAAUGAAUGGUUGAUUUUGGCCCGUACGGCAGUUCUGCCGUGCGUGAAGGCACUGCCGACGAGCCGCGUCCGAUCUUAAUUAGGUUCUCAUCAAUGUGGAUGGGCUCGGUUCUUUAAAACUUAUAAGAGGUUAGUUUGCUUUGUUUUGCUCCUUUACCCCGAGUUAUGUUGGAAACUAGAGAUGCAAAAGGUGAAACUAAAGAAGAUGAUUUUGAAUAACCUUGAGUGACUACUAGUUUGAUAACAAAUCAAGUUAUUUGUUUUAAUUUUAGUUUGAUCGAUCCGAUCUCCUUUAAUAUUGAAUAACUAAAGUUGAAUCGUCUACCACAAAAAAACGAUUGAGAGUCACACUUAAUAAUGUUAGUUAAUGACACACUUAUCUGUAUGAGUUUUUUUAUCGCCGGCUCUAAAUGAUGUGGAGAGGCCAAAGAGAAAACCAUGGACUCUAUCUUUGUAGAUGCCCUAGGGACGAGUGGUAAAUGUAGAUAUUUUCUUAGUUCCAAGAUUUCAUUCCAAAAAUAUGUUGUAAAAUAAGUGAAGAAAAGACAUUAUUCGUAGAACAUACAUCUUGUAGAAUUUUGGUCGUAGUUUCAUUCUAUCGACAAAUCUGACAACAAGACAAAAAAAUUGGCUUUGAUUAGUGACAAAUACAAGUAAACGGUACGUGCUUUUUUUUGUGGGAAUUUUUUUUUCCUGCCCAUGGUGCGUACGUCGUCAGGGAAAAGUUUCCCUCCCCUCAAAGCUCCACCGGUCAGCCCAUGGAUUCGCCUCCUCUCUUCCUGCUGUUCCGGCGGCUGAUGGCAGGAAGGGGAAUCUCGAUGCCUCGGGUCUGGCUAGUUUAGGUUACAUUUUGAGUCAUUGUAGGGGCCACGCUUAGGCCGAUGGUGACGCUUCAUCUUUGAGUUGGUCUUUAGGAGUUUGAUCCUCCUCGAAUUCAUCCCUCAAGAUGGAGUCGACGGAGCUCUACGUACAAUAAUGUUGUCUUCUUGAGGUGGCGAGGUUAAGAUUUAUCAUCGUGUGGACGCGACAACGAGAUAUAGUGUCAGUGGCGGAGCCGGGUUUACCAUAAUGAGUGUACACAGUUCAAUAUAUCUCAAAUUCUCCAACUAUUUUGCAAUGUAGAUGUAUUCUAUAUACUUAGUUUAUGCUUUCUUACUGGAAUUAAUGGGUGUACAUACCCUUCUGAGUCUGCCAAUGUCUAGUGUCAGGCUCUUCAGAUUGAUUUAAGAGUUCAACAACAACGUUUAUAUCUUCAUAAUGCUGGUUCUUAGGGGCAUGUGCAUAAAGACUUUCUGGCCAUCAUCAACAAUGUUAAGACGGCUCCAGUAUGAGACUUACGAAACCGGCGUGUUGACAGCCCGUUAGGGCGCCGAUAGUGGUCGAUGGAUUGUCUAGGGAGUCUGAUGUAAUUUUAUUACGUUUGGGGUGCUUUGUACUACUUGUGAACUUUUAUAAUAAAAUGGAUAUUUUUGCAAAAAAAUAGUAAUAAUUACAUUUGAUUUUGUCUUUUUUGUUAGUUAACACACUGGUAAACACUUGACCCACGAAUGUAUGACACAACUUCUCAUCCAUAAUCGACUCGUGACUCUUUCUUUCCCAUCUCACAGGCGGAAGAGGGCAACGCCUCCCCCUUCCCUCGUUCUUUGUUGAGCUCGUGGAUUCACCUCCCCCCAAAUGCUUGUCGCUCUGGAGACCAUUGGCGGAAAGGGGAAUCCUGAUGCCUUGCUUCGGCUAGUAGAUAAGUUCGGGUUUUAAUCCUCCUACAACCUUGAUCAAUUCUUUUUAUGUUUGGGAUGGUUUGUAUUUCUGGUGAAUUUUAUAAUAAAUUUGGAUCUCUUUUUUUGUUAGACAGAAGAAGGGACAAUUCCAUUAUUGCCUUAAUUGGUUCCUACCAAUGGGUUUUGCCUUAAUUGUCGACUCUGCUCAGUUUCACCUCUAAAAAAGCAUUUUAGGUCUCCAGAAUACCCUUUGACCGUUUGACCCUUAUUUUAAAAAUUCAUAACAAAUUCAUACGAGCUGUGAAAAACGCAAAUAAGAUAACUCAUUUUCAUUCUUUCGAGUUUAUAUGAAUUUGUUUUUUUUUAAACGGAGGCAAAACAUUUGCCUCAUCGAUUAAUUAAGAAGAAGAGAGUUGCCCAGUUAAUUUACGGAAAACCGGGCGAAAACUGAUACAAAUAACCCAAUGCGGACUACUCGCAAAGAAUGUUAUGAAUGUCCAAAGCAACGGUCAAAUGGUUUUGACCAUGUCAAAGGGCAUCGGUGACCUAAAAUGAUCUUUUAGGGCAAAAUUGAACAGAGUUGAAAACAAUGGGCAAAACCCACAUGCUCGCAAAACUAAGGACAGAGAGGUAAUUGUCCCCAAAAAUGUACAAUGUGAACACUCGAACUUGUUACUCUAACCCCGAGCGCAAAUGUGACCACAUGGAUAAUAAAUAAAUAAAAAGGAUAUAUUUUUUGUGGAUGAACAUCAACAAGUGUUCUAAUAUUCUGCAAAAAUCCAUCACAAAAAGACAUGUUAGAUGAGUAACCAAAAAAAAAUUGAUUGCUCCAAAAUACGUCUUUUUAGUCCCAAUUUUUGUGGUUUUUUUUUGUAUAGGACUCCACGGAUGUCUUUUCAAGGUAAAUCUGUAGGAUGUUCCUCCCUCCGUAUCAAAAUAUAAGACGUUUUAGGUCUUAUAUUUUGAGACACCGUGAGUAGAACAGUUGUUUAUGUUCAAUCCACAAAAAUUCAGAUUUUUUUGGCUAUUUCUUUACAAUUUACUGUUCAUGCAGGUUUAUUUGAGCUCAGAAGUAGAUAAUCCAUGUCCAAGGUUAAAUCGUUUCUUAUUUUUGUUUACAAAUGGGGAAAGGCGUAGUGCACGGGUACACCUAAACCUGAGUUGAGUGCUUACAAGAAGUCGCCGCGUUAAAAUUCUAUGUUCGUGCGGAUUACUCGUAUUUGUGUACUUCUAGGGAAAACGUGUCCACGUUUCUUACUGCCUAAGCAUACGACUAAGGUGGUGCAUAUAGGCUUUAAUAAACAAAUGAAAAUGUGGAAGAAGCGUCGCGCAUCUUGACCCAGAAAACGUGUAUGAAUCAUCAACGAGCGUAUUAGAAAACAAACUGUUGAUCCAUUCCAGCAAGGAGUUAGAUUUUUAGGACAAUGGCACCAGCCGUGAGGCCAUGAGCAAGAAUCUGAACUUCUGACGAUCGGGAAAAUGUCGAUACCAACCCUCACAUGCUCCCAUGCUACUAACUUACAAAAUUUAAAUUUAAACAUUUCAAAAAAUUCUGAAAAAGUCAUGAAUGUUUACAACACAUGUGUCAACAACCCCUAAAAAUCCAGAUCAAUUUUAUAUGUGAAUAGUGUUUUUUUUUCUUUCCUUCUUUUGACACUAUUUAUGAUGAAUUUUUAGGGGUUGUCUAUGCAUGUGUUGUGAACAUACAUGAUUUUUUUGAAAUUUCCAAUUUUAAAAAAUUGAUAGCAUGGGGGUUGGUAUCACCUGAUACUUUCCUGCCGACAAUCAAGGGGCGCUAGUUUGAAGCCAGUUGUUGGUCAUUGCUGAAUCUGGUAGUUUGGAAUCAGUAUCCCUUGUCCCAACAGCUUCAGUGACUUGAUGAAGCCAAGUCUCACCUUAACUUAGCCCCCUCUAUCAGCCAUUCAUUACAGAUCCGACGUAUCAGAUUGACUCAUAUUCCGAAUGAAUUUUUUUAAGUGUUCAGAAAAACCUGAAAAAAUCGAGUAAAUCAUAAAUAUAUCGUUUUGUAUUCUGUGAAAAUUUCAAUCCAUUUGGAUGUAUCAUUUGUGAAUAAACAUUUUUUAUUUAUUUGAGCUCAGAAGGCUAUUUAAUCACAAACCAUACAUCCAAAUGGGUUGAAACUUUCCUAGAAUACAAAACGAAACAUUUAUGAUUUAUUGGAUUUUUUUCAGUUAUUUUCGAGCACUUUAAAGUUUUCAGUUUGGAAUACGGGUCAAUCUGACGUGUCAGAUCUGUAAUGGAUGGCUGAUAGAGGGGGCUAAGUGACAGUGAGACUUUACUUCAUAAAGUCACUGAAGCUGCGUUCUAUUCAGAGAGCAAGUGAAUAUAGACCACAGUAUGAUUCAUUUUGAGAGAGAUCCAUGCCCUUUUUUUUCUAGGGAAAACUUUUGAUCUAUUCAUCAAAUGUCAAUAUAGUACAACCAUGGCUUUUUAUAUGAUUAAUGUCUAAUUCAUAUUACUCAUACCAAAAGUAACCAGAACUUUGCUAGGGAUGCAAUAUCCUUGUAUGCUGCAGAAGUACAUCUGAACUUUUGUAACAAUGACCAUGUUGGUCCUGGCUGAGUAAUAAAAUUACAAUUUCGCAAAAACAAAAGCUGUGAGGCCAUGAGACUAGUGGUCCGAGAAUCCAUUUGUUUGUUGAUACUGUGAUAGAUACACUAGGUACCAAGAUUUCCAAAAGAAACGGUAUGUGUAAGCCUUUAUCUUGUAUUCUCAUCUAUUCAAUAAGUACAUGGUAUGUUGUAAUGGUACCAACCUUGCUAUGCGCUCGAAAUGUGGUUGUGCCCCAUUCAUGAAUUCAUCACGUGAUUGGGAUAGAAUCGCAUCUUGGGUGCUACAAUAUGCUAAAAUACACCAAUGAAACUCAUAUUUGAAAGUAUUGUUUUUGAACAAUCACCGGGGCGGAGAGGGUCCCCACCUGAAUAUACUAGAUGAUACUCCGCACGUUGUUGCGGGAAUAUUUUGCAACAUAUUUCAGUGUAAUUUGUUGUAUGAAGCAUGAAUAUUUGAAGUAAUAAUAUAAAAAGCUAAAACUGAAAAUACAUAUAAUUUAUUAUAUUUGAUUACUAUACAGUUGUAAAAUGUUUAUUAAAUAUAAAUAACUUAAUAGAAUGAAGAUUCUCAUGUAUGCUUGCAUGUUGAGAUGAGUCUUUUUUCCAUGCAUGUUUCAUGAUGAAGUGGCAUGCUUGCAUGUUGAGAGAUAUAUGAUAGUGGAGGUGGGCCUUUUUCUUAUGCAUGUUGUGUGAUGAUGUGUCAUACUUGCGUGUUGAGAGAAAUAGUUAGUGAGGGCUAGCUAUUUAGAUAUAGUAGAUUACUCAAAAGGCCCAAUGGGCAAGUUACAUCAGGAGUUACAGUGAGAGGAGAGAUACAUGCGCCAAGACACACCAGCCUCCCUACUAAUGGGGUAUUUUUAAUUAUUAUUUUUAUAAAUUAAAUUUAAAAUUAUAAUAUAAUCCAAAAUAUAGGGACAUAUUGAACAGAGGGAGUAUCAAACUUUCCAAGACAUACCACAAAAAAAUAGCAACAAAACUGCAUCUUGAUCCGGCAGAAUAGGACAAGGAAAAGGAGAAAUAUUGAAAUACUACAUCUUAAUACAUAAAUUGCAUUCCUGCCGUAAGAUUAAGGUCCACUUUUAUUGAGCAGCGCUACACGGCGGAUCUUUUUUUUUAGAACGAAGGCUUCAAAAGAGCCCGGCUUUGAAUUAACAAAGCCAACAACCGGCCAGGAUUACAAACUCGAAACCAACACAAGAAAGCGAAAAAAAACGACAAGAUACAGAGGCGCUGGACAACAGCACACAAGCCUCACACACACCCAGCUAAAGGAUCGAACAAGGAGACACGCAGCUCGGGUAUGUGUAGGUCCUCAAUCGCAUACAAAUCACCAGGGAGAAGGAGAAUGUCAGCACAGGAGCAGCAUUACGGACGGCGAGGAAGGGCACGCCGUCGCCAAAUCACCAGCGGCCCCGGAUUGCCAUGUCCUCCCAGCUCCACUGUCAAAGAAGACCCCUGUCUCCUCGCCUGGCUCGAAGGCGCC